rnacentral:lncRNA from 1 species
UUCGCCACUUGCUCCACCAAAGGCCUGGUCCUCCGCCACUCGGUACCUGCUCCUCCACCUCCAGUACAUGCACCGUCGCUGCCCAGUAUGUGUGCCUCCGUGAUCCACUCCUGCCGCCACCGCCAAGGACCUACGCCGCCAAGAUCCGGUCGAUCUCGUCAUCAUCAAACUCCCGCGCAUGCCUGGACGUCAAGCUAGUCCUCCUCCUUCUCCCGUGUCGCCAGGCUCGUUCUACUGCUCCCCUAGUGAUCAAGGUUCCGUCGGAGAUACCCUGCUACCCACUUCCUCUACUGCCGCCGGAGCUGUCGUGUGAUCUACUCUUCCACUCACAACACCUACUCUCCAUGACCAGGCGAUGCUCCUCCUCCACGCCCAACACCUCACUUCUCACCCAGCAGCAGAUCCUCUACUUCGCACCUAUAGAUCAAGUGGAGACUAGUCAAUCUGAGUAUGAGCAACAGGUAAAUUUAUCAAUACACAGGAGUAUCAUUUGUAGCAGUAGUAUCUGUAGGAGCAGUAUCUUCUGUAGUAGCAAUUGAUCAGUCUCAACAGUAAUCUAUAGUAAUAUCAAAGAUCAAACUUGCCACGCGCCUCUCCUCUUCGGGUACAACAUUUUUUUGAUGUUUUAAAACAUGAGCAAACUGAACAUCAUAACAUGUUUCAGUUAGAAUGACCAAUACUGUGAAAUUUCAGAAACUGAAUUAGAAACGUGUUUUCCAAGAUGUGCGUAUGCACAGUAUUGUAAAAGUACAAUAGAAUAUGAUUUGUACUUGAAAUUAGGAUGAACAGUAAACUAGUAAUGAAAGUAAACUAUAAUUUGUUAUAAAGAUUUUCCUACUAAAAAUAACGGGAUGGAUAGAAAAGGGUGAAAAGAUAACUGAAUGCUAGGCUAAAAUGGACAGUAAACUGAUAAUGACUAUUGCCAACAAGAGUAGGAAAAUGUGAGCUUCUAAAAUUUGUUACAUAAAUUUUCCUAGUGAAAAGAUAACUGAUUUUCGUGUACUGAAAAUUUAUAGUGCCGAGUUCAGGAAAGUUUACUCAAUUUUGUGGAGCACUCAAAGUGCUUUGAACUAAUAAAUCAUUAAAGUUCAAAGCCUAGAGAAUCAUCAAAGUUCAGCAAUAAGCAUCAAUCCAAAAUCAUCUAUAUGCAUUCAAAAAAUAAAAAUUCAACAAAUUUGGUGUCAAGCUUAUUUCUAUCAAAAUUUAAAUUGAAAAAUAUCAAGGUUUCCAUUGAAUGAACAGAGUUUGGGCACUGAAUUUGUAAGCCAUGGUAUAAUGAGCUUGGGCUUACAAAUUUUCAGUAGUUUUGACACUUGCUUGCAAAUUCAGUAGUUUUUUCCUAUUCCUAAUGUUUCCUGAUUUUUAAACUUGCUUGCAAUAAGCUUGCAGUACACUUUUAAAUUCAGAUCAGAAGCCAAGAUGUAAAACUGAAUUUUAACUAAACUUUUACUCCAAGAAUAGGAGUAUCAUGCAUGCUUAACUAGAUUUUUAACAUAAUCGCUCUCUUGGUUUAGGAGUACUUAAUUUCAAUCUCUCUCUUAGCCUAGGAGUACUGAAUUUUUGUAGUAGAUUUGCACUGAUUUUCCAAGCACAACCAGUAUCCAUUCAUUUACACUUCAUUCAAUCAUAAAGAAAGAAAAUGCUCACAUGAUAAAUUUUAUUCAAACAUGAUAAAUUUAGGACAAAAUCACACACACACCAGCUCUAGUAACAUGAUAAUCCAUGAAUGGAGACAAUUAGACAGACAUGCUUAUCAUAUUCACACAUGAUAAUCCAUUAAUGGAGACAACUAGACAAACACACACAACCACCACUAGCAGAUGGAAUUGUACAACACAAGCAGAGAUAGGGAUUGUACAACCUGAAGGUCGACGAUGAGGUCGUACAGAUCAGAGAGGUAGCAGCAGUUGCCGCCGGCUAGGUGUGCCAGCACGGCGUACGCAAAUACACUUGUGAGUUUUACAAAUUGAAAAUUAUGACCGCGGUGUAAUCCGAGACAGAGGACUGCACAAAAUGAUGAAUCAUUGGAAGGUCUGAUUAACUAAAUUCACAGCUAGUGAACAUGGAAACAAAGGAAUGUAACAACUCGCGUUUUGGAAAUUACAUGGAAGUACAAAGUCUUAGUUGAGAAGCAGAUUACCUUGAGAACUUCAUGUUAAUAGCCAGGAUCUUCAUGCUUUGCUUACAAGCUGAUAUCAAUUUCACAAGGAGAUAUCAACUUUUUAGUUUUGAAAGUCAAGCAUCUUGACCUAUGCUCUGUCGUCGUGGGAGGUGGUAGCUCUCCUACCAACGCAAGAUGGGCGAUGAAGGCGGGGAUGGUUGUUGCUGCUUUCGGGGGAGAGCUUCUGCCGGCUCUAAUGGAUAGUGGUGGUCAAGAAGGAUGAGGUUGGCGGUGAGGUGGACAGUGGUGUCUGUUGAGCGGCAAGACGGGGGACGGAUUCAUUGUCGGUGGAGGUGAGCCGACGAGGAGGUAGUCCACGAAGGACAGGUCUAGCUUCGGCUUGCCACCCUCGGACGUCGUGCUGGUCGCUGUUGGAUGGGCAGGGCCAGAUCAAAAAAAGCAAGUGUUCGCCUGGCCGUGGUUCACCAUGGGGAACGAGGAGACGAACAAAGAGGGGAAGCAGCAUAGGCGUGGGCCGGGGCAGGUCCGGCGAGGGAGAAGAGCAGGGGAGACGAGCUUUGGAGCUCAAAUGCAGAGGAGACGAGUGGGGGAGCUUCGAUUGAGAGGAGACGAGCACGAGACGCGAGUAGUGCGGGUUGUGUCAGGAAUUUCCCGAGGGUUUUCGUGCAAAAUUGCCAGCACGACAAGAAUUACGGGAUGGAGGGAGUAGGAGGCAUGAUAUCAUUAUAAUAAUUUUGCUCAUCAAAAUUUGAGGAACUAAAAAUAUCAUCUUUAUCAAACAUAGCAUCCCCAAACUUGUGGCUUUGCAUAUCGUUAGCAUCAUGGAUAUUCAUGAAAUUCAUACUAAUAAUAUUUCUAUAAUGCUCAUCAUUCAAGGAUUUCACAUUAACAUUUUUAUAAAUUCUUCCUCUAACAACUGAGUACAAUUUUCUGAACCAUCAUUUUCACGAAACUCAUUAUAAAGGCGAAGCAAAUGAGGCAACCUAAAUUCCAAAUUUAGUAGUUUUCUUUAUAUAACCAAAAAAGUGAAAAACAAGAAAAUAAAAGAUUUAAUUGCAAGAUCUAAAAAUAUACCUUCAAGCACUCACCUCCCCGUCAACGGUGUCAGAAAAGAGCUUGAUAUCUACUAUGCAACUUUAUUCUUGCAGAUGUUGUUGGGCCUCCAAGUACAAAGUUUGGUAGGACCUAAGGUUUAUCAACCCGUGGGAGGUUUAGGAUGAAGAUGUUCUCUCUCGAACAACCCUGCAAUCAAAUACAGGAAAGUUGUUGUGUCCCCAACACAUCAAAUACAAUGGAAAAUUGUAUAGGUGCACUAGUUCCGUGAAGAGAUAGUGAUACAAGUGUAGUAUGGAUAGUAGAUAUAGGUUUUUGUAAUCUGAAUAAAUAAAAACAACAAGGUAAUAAUUAAUAAACAACAAGAAAAACGGUAUAUAAAUGCUUGAUAAUAAAGCCUGGGUUCAUACUUUCACUAGUCCAAUCUCUUAAUACUGCUAACAUAGUAGAAUCAUAUGAUCAUCCCUCAGUGUGCAACAAAGAAUCACUCCAAAGUUCAUAAGUAGCGGAGAAAAUAAGAUGAAAUUGUUGUAGGCAGCUAGCCACCUCAAAGUUAUUCUUUCCGAUCAAUCUUUUGAGCUAUUCCUAUAAGUGUCACAAACAGCCUUAGAGUUCGUACUAGAAUAACAACCAUGAUACAUAGCAAUCAACCCUAAUGUCACCUAGAUACUCCAAUGUCACCUCACGUAUCCAUGUGCUAAUUAUACAACAUGCAUCAAACAAUUUUAAAUUCUUCAUAUUCAAACAAACACAAAGAACUUGAAAGAUCACCCCAAGAUUUCUAUGAGAGAACAUAGUUUGAAAACGUGCAAUCAACCCCUAUGCAUAGAUCCCCAAGGUCACCGGAAUCCACAAGUUGAUGUCAUAACAAUAUCAUGUGAAUCAAUAGAAUACCCCAAUGUCAAUACGGCUAUCCGCAUGCAAGACAUGCAUCAAGUGUUCUCAAACCAAAAAUAUUCAAUCCAACAUAACGAGAUCUCAAUGAGAAAGAUUCAAUUCGUCACAACAAGAUAGCAAGGGACAAACACCAUAUGAUCCAACUAUAUUAACAAAGCCAGUGAUACAUCAAGAUAGGGACAUCUCAAGAACACGAGAGAGAGAGAGAUGAAACACAUAGCUACUGGUAAAAACCCUCAGCCCUGAGGCUGAACUAUUCCCUCCUCAUCACGGCCUCCGCCGGAUGAUGAAGAUGGCCACUGGAGAUGAUUUCCCCCCUCCGGCAGGGUACUGGAAAGGCUCCAGAUGGGUUUUCGUUGAUACAUAGAGUUAUGGCAGCAUAUGAGAAGUUCUCUAUUUAAUUCUGAGUUUUUAUGUAUAUAUGCGAUUUUUUGGCGUUUGAAUCGCGCUAAAUGGAGCCACGGGGGCCACACAAGGCAUGAGGGCGCAACCCUGGGGGUGGUCGUGCCCUGUUGCCUUGUGGCCCAUAGGUGGCUCCCCUUUGGUGGUUCUUUGCUCCAAUAUUGCUCAUAUGUUCCAGAAAAAAUCAUGAAAAAGUUCCAGCCGAUUCCGAGAACUUUCAUUUUCUACACAAAAAACAACACCAUGGUAAUUCUGCUGAAAACAGCGUCAGUCCAGGUUAGUUCGAAAUAAGUCACAAAAGUGCAUCAAAGCCAUAUAAAAAAUAUUGUAAACAUAGGUGAAUAUUGCGUGAAUACUUCAUACAUUAUUUAUACAUUGUAGAUGUAUCACCAACCCCUCCAACAUGAGGGGUAGGUGAGUCACUGCGUUGAAAUCAUCACCGCGAGCGAUCUGGAUGGCCACUCAGUAAUCCUUGAGCCAAGUCUCCGGCUUUGACUCGCUACUGAACUUACUAAUUCUCCUGUCCUACCUAUAGUUGGAGGGUAUCUCAGCCUCACAGAUGUGCGUGUCAAGUACUCGAGGCCGGAGAUGCCUCAACCACCCGACUUCCCUCUGCCAGCCCAAGCUUUGCCAACCACACUUUGGGUGAUGAUGGACCUUGCAAUGAACGAGGGAGUUCGGUUAUCAUCCUCUCCAUGGACUCUAUGCCGGUAGAGGCUCUACCUAUGGUCAUCUGCAUAAGGCCGCUUGUUGUUGUAGGACCACUGUCCGAAUGAACCACCCCUAGGAGGGGGCGUCCAACUACGGAUGCGGUCAUCGUGCCUCCUAUCUAUGUACUAGCCUCUCAGAGGAGAAUGAGAUCUUCGAUGCCUUCCAGGUGCAAGCGGGCAAUGAGCCAACUGCAACAUGUCAGCCCGGACUGAAUUGUUGUAGAUGUGGAUGUGCGAUUGUGACAUCUUGGAGUUUUUCUCCAAGGCAGUCUUCAGAAGUGCAUGAAUUUGCCGAAUGCCUUUCCUGGCCCUAAAUCAGACAGCUAGCCAUAGGAAUAGCUCAAUAGAUUGAUCAAAAUAAAUAGUGUUGACGUGGUUCUACUACCUACAAAAAUUUCAUCUUAUGUUCUCCGCUACUUAUGAACUUUGGAGUGAUUCUUUGUUGCACGUUCAGGGAUGAUCAUAUGAUUUUGUUAUGUUAACAUUGUUGAGAGAUUGCACUAGUGGAAGUAUGAACCUUAGGCCUCAUUUCUAAGCAUUGCCACAACAUUUAUGCUCGCUUUAACUAUUUGUUACCUUCUGUUUUUAUAUUUUCAUAGUACAAAAACCAACAUCUACUAUCCAUACUACACUUGUAUCACCAUCUCUUUGUCGAACAAGUGCAUCUAUAAAAUUAACCAUUGUAUGGGUGUGUUGGGGACACAAGCUAAGUUGUCAGAACCGCGACUCAACUUAGAAUCAGUUGAUCUGACGGUCCAAACUAGUCCCUCUGAUUCUGCAAUUUUGCUCAUAGAAUCUAAAUUUCUAUGAUCCUGAUAGUUAUGAUUCUACGAUUCACGAUCCUAGCAACGGAGCUCUGAUCCGAUUCAGGAUCACGAUUCUGACAACUUUGGACACAAGAAAUUUCUUGUAUUUGAUUGUAGGGUUGUUUUAGAGAGACCAUUUUCAUCCUACACCUCCCACUGAUUGAUCAACCUUAGGUCAUCCACUUGACGGAAAUUUGUUGUUGUCCAACAAAACUCUACGCUUGGAGGCCCAAUAACGUCUACAAGAAUAAAGUUGCAUAGUAUACAUCACCAACUCCAAGUUCCCGAUGAAUGUGGUUAGGCGAACAUGUACUUCACACUUUUGUUCCCUUUGCCACACGAUAUAUGUUGUCGUGCUCAAGGCAACAUGCCCAUCCUUGUUGCAGCAUGACCUCUUUCUCGUUCAAGUGAAUCCGGCCAACACUUAAAUUAUCUCAGAAUUCUCAUUGCAUGUCCAUACUUAUCCACCCCGGAUCACCCGAGGGCCCCAGAGAAUAUCUCUCCUCAUUGGAGGGAAAAUCCCAUCUUGCUCGAGCAUGUGUCGUAGCAUGGGCCUAGUGUAGGAUCGAUAGUAUGUCUAGAUGGGGGGUGAUUAGUCUAAUUGACAAGAUAAAAACUUAGCCUUCUCCCAAUUUUUACUGUGGGCCAGUUUAAGCAACUAUGACUAGUCAAAUACACCCUACACAUGCAUAUAUAAGAGUAUAGCAGUGGAAAGUAAAACAUGCAAGUGUAAAGUAGAGGGUAAGGUAGGGAGAUCAAACAAAAAGGUUGACACGGCAAUUUUUGGCACGGUUCCGAUAGGUGGCACUAUCAUACGUCCACGUUAGUGGAGACUUCAACCCAUGGAGGGUAACGGCUGCGAGAGUCCACGAAGGGCUCCACCCACCAGGGGUCCACGAAGAAGCGGCCUUGUCUAUUCCACCACGGCUUCCGUCCACAUAUAACUAGCCUCACACACGGUAGAUCUUCACGAAGUAGGCGAUCUCCUUACCCUUACAAACAUCUUGGUUCAACUCCACAACAUGAAGUAGGAGACUCCCAAGCGACACCUAACCAACCUAGGAGGCACCACCCUCCAAAAGGUAAUAUAUGUGGUAGAACGAUGAAGUCCUUGUACUUGUGUUUCAAAAUAUAGUGUCCUCAACAAUCAAUCACUCUCUCUGAUCUGGCAGGGGUGGGAGAGAUUUAUAUUGUCGAAAGCAACAUGGGGAGCCUAGAAAUUAAGGUUCAAAUGAUUGGAAUGGGAUAUGUUGAUCUCAACACAUGAGUAGGUGGCUCUCUCUCAGAAAAAUGUAUCUAGCAAGUGUAAGUGUAUUCUUAGUGCUUCCACUACGAAUGAGAGGUAGGUGGAUGGGUAUAUAUAGGCAUUCCUCAAAAUCCAACCGUUAUAACAUUAUUUCCCAACUCGGUGACACUAAAAUUAAUCUUGAUGGUAUUAAGUUGCAUUAAAUGUGGCAACUUUUGAAUUCUCGGUGAAACCGAUAUAGGAAUCUCGGUGGUACCAAUACGAUAACCUAGACUGGUUGCCAAACUCGGUGAGACCAACUUAAAACUCGAAAAUUCGAAAAAUUGAAAUUAUCUCAACGAAAUGUUGGUCACGCAAUCUUGGUGGCACCGAUGGAAUUGUUGGUUGUACCGAGAUGGUGGAUUUGGCAUAGGAUCUGUCUAAGUGUAAAAUCGGUAUGGACGAGUAGGAAAUGUAGGUGGCACCGAUUUUGUAUAUUUGACUUGGGACAGAUAUAUUAUGUGGGAAAGUGGGUGAGUGUUUUUCGUGGCUAUCUCUAAGCACUUGAGCAAACAAUUCAUCAUAAUACCUCAUCCCAUUAUAAUAGUAUUGGCUCUCCUAUGGACUCAAAGUGAUUUCUCACAAAGUGUAAAAUGAAGAGUCUUCUUGCUUGAAGCUUUAGCCGAUCCUAUUCCUUCUCUUGCAUCAAAGGGGCAUCUCCAAACAAUCCUAUAGCCAGAGCAUCUUUAAACUAUUCUGAAAUGUACUUGGAUAAAUUCAUUUUUCCAAUGGUGCAUAUGUUGUGAUAAAUUACAAAAACCACCUUAGGGAGAAAUUGUGCUUUCAAUCUCCCCUUUUUUGGUAACUGAUGACAACAUAUAGAUCAAAGCUUCAAAAAAGAUAUAAUCAAUUAUUAGAAUCGAUGCUUUGAGAGGUAUGUAAAAAGCAAGAGCUCCCCCUAAAUUUGUGCAUUAUUUUAAAUUUGCGUUUGAAUGCAAAUGCACAAUCGAUUAGGAUUAUGGGUUACUCUUCCAUGUCACAUACAACUCGGUGGUGCGCAUAAAUGAUAAGAAUGAAUAAGAAUACACAUAGCACCAACAAACAAGUCAAUGAUCAUGAUGUAGAUAACUCAAAGGUAAAAACGUGGUAGCAUCAAACAAUCAAAGCAUAUGAUCAAACACACAUCUAAACUGAUAAUGUCAUCCAAAAGAUAAAAACUUGUUUUGAAAACCAAACGAGAGCAAAUAAAGUCAAAUUCUCUCCCUCUCUCGAAUCCCUGUGAUCUAUACACUUCUCCCCCUUUGGCAACAAGUACAAAAAAGUUCAAAGGUCUAAACUAAGCAUCUCUCUAGGCACAAUCUCCUCCGGUAGCAGAAGUUGGAGUAGACAAGGGAGCAUCGACGAAGGCUUCAACAAAUGUCGCUGGAGAAGGAGCUCGAGGAGUAGAUACUGGAGGUGCAGGACCAGGAGCUGAGGCUUGAGUUGAUGAAGACAGUAUUUCUUCUAGUACUGGCACAACUGCUGACCUGGUCUGGGUCGUGAACCGUGUGGUAGUGCGAAGAGGUGAAUCAUUACCAUCAUUUUCAUCAUCAUCUGAGCGUGGAAUCUUCACUGAGUCAACUUCAUGUUGAAGCUGCUCAACAGUGGUGGUCAACUCCGUUACCUUCACAUCCAGGUCAUGGAAUUUUGGUCGAUCCUCUAUAAACUCUUCUUGUUCAGCAAGAUCUCUGAAAUAUUAUUCUCCAUCCCUUGGAUGGUGCUGACCAAGAAAUACAUAUGUUCAUCUCUAGUUUUGAGCUGGGGUGGUGGAGCUGGCGCAUUCCUAGCAUCCUUUGCAGUUGCUGCCUUUGCAACCUCUCUAGCUAUAGCUGAGAUGGGAUGAGUGUCAUCCAUCACAACUAUAUUGUUCUCAUACUCUGGCUGAAGCGACAAAUGCGGACGAUCAAGCUGAUAUGCAUGCUUGCCAAUCCUGGCAUUGAUGAGCAUGUGAAUGUAUGGUGCAUAUCCACAUGAUCUCUUCUGGUCUGGAGAAGUUCUCCUGACAGUCUCAGUAAUCAAACCCAUGAUUUUCAACUCAGUGUGGGUGUCUAGAUGAUGCAUCAUAUUGAAGGAAUAGACUCUAAUCAUUUUGUCAUCACCUGAUUUGGGCAUCAUGGUAUGCCUCAAGAUAGUAUUGGUACUGCUUGCAAGAAAUAGACAGAGCCAAGCUUGUGAGACGGCAGAUAGUCAUUGGGCACUGGAUUGUACAUAUUGGCCAUGGAGUUGUGAUUCUUCUUAGGUUUUAAAUACGCAUCCAAGUCCUUGCCUCAUGACUUUGGAGCACCAAUUAUAGUACCCAUUCUUCAAUUGUGGCUUCAUUUCUAUGACCAUCAAUCAUCCAUACAUUUGUGCCAUCUGCAUAGAAAUGAACUGUUGAGUAGAAUUAAAUAAUCAUCUCAUCAUUCCAUGCAAUCAUUUCUCUCCCAACAAACUCUUCAAUGUCAGCAAGAUUGAAGUGUUUUUUCACAUGGGGAAAGAAAUCAUUAUUGUCUUUGAUGUAUUCCUAGUCGAUAUAUCUCAUGUAACUGACUACUCGACUCUUGUCAAACGGGACUGUCUCAUAGAAGUCUUUUUGUUCCCUUGUGUGAAACCAAGGAUCAACAACAGUUCUUCUCCUCACAGCAUAUGGAUCAAUAGUUCUCCACUUCCUCAACCCUGCAUCUCUUCUCUUCUUCAUGUCUUCAACAAUUGGGUGAGACUCAUUGUGAAGUGGCAAACGAGGUCUUAGCUUCAUGAGAAUAGGUGCAUUCUCAUCUUUUUCCUCUACAACAAAGGCUCUAGAAGCAGUGCCUUUCUCUUUAGCAGCUCCAGGUAUGUCAUUUGUACUCCUCUUGGGAGCUACAGUCUUCUUAGGAGCUGAAGGCUUUGGAGCUGAAGGCUUCAUAGCAUCUGCCAUAAGCUUCUUCUUCUUUGCAGGAGGGGCCUUAGCUGGUAUUUCUUCUUCCUCUUCCUCAGCAGCCGCAACAAUUUCUGUUGGAUCUUCAUAUAUGGAGGUUUGUCUACCAAUGACAUGAAUAGUUCUCUUCCUGGCUCUCUUCACACCCGGCUUCUUGGAAGAGGUAUCCUCAAGGGUGAUUUUCAUCCCUUUCUAAGCAGCCACAAGAGCUCUCAAAUCAGCAGGUCUGGCAUACUCCUUCCUCAUAGUCUCCUUGACUGUAGCCUUCUCUUUCUGCUUCCGGGGAACAGGAACUUCGGGAACAAAAUCAGAAUCUUCUUCAUCAAAAUUCAACUUCUUCCUGGACCUGGUAGCUGCCUUGGACAAGCCAUGGGAGCUGGGGGUACCUGGAUCAUAAGGGUUCCUCUUAGGACUAGUGCCUGAAUCUGACUCAGCAUGGGGCUCACGGAAGUUGUUCUCACUGUCCUCAUAACCUGACAUCUUGCAAUCCAAGCUGACAAACUAACACACAGACUGGUUGACCGUGUGAAAGGAUAUGGAGGAGCUUGAAAAUAUAAGCAUCAUACAAUUACAGAAGUUUUUCUUUAUUUUGAACAAAGAAAUCCUUAGUUUUAUCUUUCUGCAAAAUAAAUUUGGGUAGCACCGGGUCUGAACUUUGGUUUCUGUGAGAGAAAUGAUCUUCUUCACAAAAACCUAGAAAUCACUUCGGUGAAACCGAAAGUGACCAAUCUGUCUCACCGAGACCAUUCUCAGGAAACCUAGAAACAAGAUUGGUGGAACUUAUUUUUGCAACUCGGUGGCAUCGAGAUGCAUUCUACGGAUGGCUCACCCUAAGUAUUUUUCGUUCGCUGGUCUACUGGAACUUCUGGUGGAGUAAGAGGUUUGCACACGGAGGCUUAUAGACAAAAAUUUCUAAUGUGUAAGAAUUAGAUAAGAAAGCGCAAAAGAAGAUCGGAACCUUACCCUAACUUGGUGGCGGUCCGACUACGACGACGACGGCGGUGACGAUUUCCGUACAAUAAGGAUCCCAGUGGCGAAGAUGCAUGGGGAAGCAAGGCGAUUACCAAGGGGUCCAGGUGCGGCAGUUUGGGGUUGGGGAGCAUGGCGUUUGAAGAUUGGAUUUCAAAACGUUAGGUCCAUGGUGUAAGUACCCCUCACUAUCAGUGUUAUGGAUACUAAAAUUUCGGUGCUACCGAGUUCCAAUGUGGUCUGUUGACAGACAAACUCGGUGAAGCCGAGAUCAUGGUAUCGGUGGUACCGAGAUUAAGACCUAGAUCAACUUUGAGAAUCGGUGGAACCGAGAAUUUGGGAUUGGUUACACCGAGAUUCACAACGAGGUUUUGGAAAGCAGCCCUUGUCGACAUAGAACUCUGAGUGCUCCUCACACAGAGGGAUCAAGAAAUGCUUGUCAAGUUUUGUGAUGUAGCAUGAAUAGAACUUGAGACGAGAAAUCAUAGUCAACUAGAGAAGGGUCAUAUGCAUUCUUUUCCAUCCAAUUGGCAAAAUAUAAAUCAAAAGGCGAAUAGCAACAAUUGGAUGUCCUCGAAUGGAAAAGAUAUGCACACCAACAUGCUCACACAAUAAUAUGUCAAAUGAAAUCUUGGUGAACAUGCACAAACAUCCAAGCAUCUAUGAAGGACUUUGGAGAUGACGAAGUCAUCUAUAUAUGAGUAUAUUGACUUAGGAUUCAAGUAAGAAUACUUGAUCAUAGGUCAUACUCAUCGAUUAAGAACAAUCGGGUUACCACUUUUACAUAAUGCAUUGAUGUGUUCACAUCAUUUAGGAGACGCUUUUACUCAAGUCUUAGAGUAAAGCUCCCCCUAUAUGCGACAUCCCCCCUAAGAGGGAUCAACUAACCUUGGGUUUUGUCGUAGAAGACUUCAAGUAGGUGAAGUGGUGAUGGAUGCUUAUGGUUGAUGAAGUUCAUCUUGAGUUGGGAGCAAUCCUUGUUGUUUCUUACUCUUCUCACCUACAUGGGUUAGUCCCAAAGCAAAAGGAACAAAUGCAAGGAUAUAUAUGGACAUAGAGUGAAAUACAUGGGAGGUAAUGUCCAAAGAUGCAUUAAUUAACUUGUCCCUUUCUCACCUUUGAGGGAAUGUAUGACUCUUUGAACUAAUGCAUAUGGUUGAGGUUGAUUGCAUAUAGUUAUUUCCAAAAAUGAAUAAGAGUGAAUUUCAUGGUGGAGUCACCCCUCAAGAACAUUCUAGUUCUUCCUCUUGGGGAGCCACAUCAACUUGAUGGGAAUCCUUGGAUUUUUGGUAGCACUAGAUGAGGCAGUACUAGAAGUGUCCUUGGGAACCCACUUAACCUUGGCUUGGGGUUCUUCUUGAAACGAGUCAAUGUCCUCUUGAAGCUUUCCCUUACCAUUGUGGUCUUGUGGUAGAAGGCCAACUUGUGAGCUUGUUCCCUUGGGAGGAGUAGGAUCAUACUUCUCUUCUUAAGUAAGAAACUUGGGAAUGGCAUAUGGACCUUCUUCCAAAACAUCUCCAUUGACAUUGAAGUAUCCAACACCUUGCUUCUUCUGAUGUCCUCCUUGCUUGCGCAUAAUUUCCUCAAAUUGCUUACUUCCGGCAAGACUCUUGAAGACUCCUCUAUCUAUAAUCACUUUCAAUAAAUUGUUUUCUUGCUCAAGUGUAACUUGGCUAAGAGAAUCAUUAGUGGAAUCAAGAGAGCUACUAGCAACAACAUCAUUUGAUUUAGCUUUAGCAUUGUUGUUACUAGAUGAAGAAACUUUCUUGCCUUUGUUACUAGUGUUCUUAGGUUUAACUUGUGGAACAAAAGUAGAUAAGAGUAAUCGUUUGGCUAGAUAAGAGGAACCCUUCUUUCUAAGAUCAUCAUUGAUUGCUUUUACGAACUCAUGCUCUUGCUCUAAAUUUAGCUCCUCGAAGCAUAGCUUCUCAUGAGUUCUUGCAAGCUCUCUUUGAUCUUCUAGAGUAGUUUCAUGAGCUAACUUAAGAGAGUUAAAUUCUUUAGUUAGUCGUUCAAUUUCUUUCUUAUAACCAGCAUUCAAUUUAUCUUGACUAGCAUUAUAAUUAGCAAGUUCAUUUUCAAUGUUGUCGCUAGUAUUAUCAAAGAGCAAGUCAUCUUCCCCUAACAAGUGUAAUGCCGACAACACCUUCAUAUUGAUUGUAGUCAGAGUUGGAGUGAUAACUUCUCUCGGAGUGGUUGUCGGACUCAAAGCCAGGAACCCAUUCACCAACAUGAGAUUGAUGUCUUUUUCUUGAACUGCUCUUGGUGUACUUGUCCUUCUUAUCCGAUUCUCUACCACUCCGGGAGUGUCUUCGUUCAUAAUGAUCUUGUCUACUCCUUCUCUAUUUGCAAGGAGACUCAUCUCUUGAGCUUUGUCUUCUAGCUGACUCUUCUCUUCAUUUGUGGGGAUCCGAGUGCUAACGGCAGUCCCCGACAACGACACUAGAAGAAUGUUGUUGACGAGUCCCUGGCUUGAUGCCUUCGCGACAACAGAGCCAGAACUGCUCCCAGUUGCUCAACAAUUAGCAAUUGUCUUGCAAUGGCCUACCAGUGCGUGGGUUCGCGGCAGUUUUCGAGGGUAGAGUAUUUGACCCAAAUUUGUUGAUUCGCCAGGCAGGAGGUGAGAGGAUACUCUCGAGUAUUAGCAGCUGAAUGUAUCAAAUUCAACCACACCUGAAAGAUUAGUAUCUGCAAGCGAAGUAUCAGGAACAAAGUAGUAUGAUAACAACGGUGUCAGAAACGAUCUGUUGACGGCAGACUAUUCCUAACUGUUGUAUCAAUGGCACCAGAAGUUGCCCGUUGACGGGAAAUAUUCUUCCCCGUCAACGCCGUGCGAACAAAAAUUGUAGCAGGUAGCAGCAGUGUAACGAGUAACAGCAGUAGCAAGGAACAGCACAACAAAACAAGUAACACCAUUAACAACCGUAGUGGGACAAACUCGUAGGCAAUGGGUCGGUGGUUCGUUUGGAUGAUAUUCAUCAUGCAACAGUGAUAACACAGAGAGAUAUGUGGCUAGCUCCCGUUCGUCAAUGUGAUGUAGGCAUGCAUUGCUUGUGUAGUCAUACGUUCUUAGGGAAAAGAACUUGCAUGACAUCUAUUGUCCAUCCUUCCCGUGGCAGCAGGGUCUAAAAGGAUACUACAGGAUAUUAAGGUUCUCCUUUUAAUAAAGAACCGGAACAACGCAUUAGCACUUGGUGAACAGAUGAACUCCUCAAACUAUGGUCAUCACUAGGAGUGGUUUCGGUUAUUAUCACUCCGGGGUUGCCGGGUCAUAACACAUAGUAGGUAACUACAACUUGCAAGAUCGGAUCUAAAACACACAUAUAUUGGUGACAGCAUAAUAAUUUCAGAUCUGAAAUCAUGGCACUCGAGCCCUAGUGACAAUCAUUAAGCAUGGAAAAGUAGUUGCAACAUCAAUCUCAGAAUAUAGUGGAUACUAGGGACCAAUCCCCGUCAAAACUAACUCAAUUACAUGAUAGAUCUCAUCCUACUCAUCACCGCCUAGCGAGCCUACGAAUAGAUUACUCACGAACGAUGAAGCGCUUCAUGGAAUUGGAGAGGGAAGAAGGUUGAUGAUGACGAUGGCGACGAUUUCCCCUCUCCGUAGCCCAAAACGGACUCCAGAUAUGUCCUCCAGAUGAAGACCAGGAUGUGGCGGCGCCUCCGUAUCGCAAACGUGACAAAAUCUUCUCUUCUGAUUUUUUUCUGGGCGAAAGUGAAUUUAUAGAGCUGAGUUUGGGGGCGGCAGAGCCACGUGGGCCCCACAAGCUUGGUUGCCGCGGCCAUGGGGUGGCCGCGCAACGGGGCUUGUGGCCCACUCGCCCAGCCCCUCCGGUGGAUCUUUGCACAGGUAUUUUUCAUAUUUUCUUGAAAAAUUCUUCGUAAAUUUUCAGGACGUUUCGAGAACUUUCAUUUGUGCACAAAAACAACACCAUGGCAAUUCUGCUGAAAACAGCGUCAGUCCGGGUUAGUUCCAAUCAAAUCAUGCAAAUUAGAGUCCAAAACAAGGGCAAAAGAGUUUGGAAAAGUAGAUACGAUGGAGACAUAUCAACUCCCUCAAGCUUAAAACCUUGCUUGUCCUCAAGCAACUCAGUUGAAAAACUGAAAGAGAAAGAAAAACUUUGACAAACUCUGUUUGAUCUUGUUGUUGCAACUAUGUCUAACUCGUAACCAGAAUUUCAGCAAGAUCACAAGUUAACCACAUAAGCAAGUGACACAAAGGUCUCAAGGUAAACUAAUAUCAAUGGCAUAAUCAGCUAGCGAGCAAAUAAUAAUGAGUUUCAGAUACCAACAACUCAAUAAAAACAAGCAUGAAGCAAUGUGAAUAGUUGGUAUCUCGCUAGCUCUUUCUGAGACCGCAAAACAUAAAUGCAGAGCACUUUCAAAGAUCAAGGGCUGACUAAACAUUGUAAUUCAUAGCAACGAAGAUCCAGUCAUAGUCAUACUCAAUAUCAAUCAAAAGCAAAGCAUAAAAAUGACAGAGGUGCUCUCUAAUUGGUGCUUAUAUAAGAAGAGGAUGACUCAACAGGAAAAUAAAUAGACAUGCCCUUCGCAGAGGGAAGCAUUGAUUUGCAGAGGUGCCAGAGCUCAAGCUUUGAAAACAGAGAUAAUAAUUUUGGGUGGCAUGCUUUCAUUUUCAACGCAAGGACCAAGAUUUCUCAAUAUCUUCCACUCUACUCAUGCUAUAGGCGGUUCCCAAAGAGAAAAGUAAAGUUUUAACUCCCCCCCACCAAUCAAUCACACUCCACGGCUAACCGAAUCCUCGGGUACCGUCCAUACUAACAUCAAUCCGGGGGGAGUCUUGUUUUACAGUUAUGUUUUCGAUUUAAGCAUGGAACUGGGCAUUCCAAUUACCGGCCCCUUUCUCGUGAAUGACAAUGAAUAAACACAUGUCGAGGAUAACACACCUAACAUGGAAGAUACAAAUAGCCCCCUGUCACCACAUGAGCAGUUCGGGCAUGCAAAACAGAUUAUUUCUUGAAGGUUUAGAGAAUGGCACAUGCAAAUUUACUUGGAACGGCAGGUAAAUACCACAAAUAGGUAGGUAUGGUGGACUCCCAUGGAAAAACUUUUGGGUUUAUGGAAGUGGAUGCAUAAGCAGUAUUCCGCUUAGUACAAGUGAAGGCUAGCAAAAGACUGGGAAGCGACCAACUAGAGAGCGACAACAGUAAUCAACAUGCAAUGAGUUUGACUAUCAUGGAGUGCAAGCAUGAACAGGAUAUAAAUCACCAUGAACAUGAACAUCAUAGAGGCUAUGUUGAUUUUGUUUCAACUACAUGCAUGAACAUGCGCCAAGUCAAGCCACUUGAAUCAUUCAAAGGAGAAUACCAUCCUAUCAUACUACAUCAUAAUCAUCUCAAAAUCUAUGUUGGCAUUCAAGACAAACCAUUAUAAGCUCCUAGCUAAAUAAGCAUGGCAUCAGAAACUAUGAUCUCUAAGUUGUCAUUGCAAACACGGUUCUCUCACAACAAAGCUGAAUCUGGGACAACAAGCUAGUCAUAUUUACAAAAACAAAAUAGAUAGAGUUCAUACCAGCUUUUCCAGUCUCAGUCACUUCAUCAUAUAUCAUCAUUAUUGCCUUUCACUUGCACGAUCGAACGAUGUGAACAAUAAUAAGAGUGCUCGUGCAUUGGACUAAGCUGAAUCUGCAGGCAAACACAAAGGAGAAAGCAAAGUAAUAUGGAUCUUUGAAAGCUAAACAUGUAUGCAUGCAAGAGCCACUAAACAUUGUAACCAAUUUCUUAUACCUUGACCCAAAGAAAAAUAAAACUAUUUACACGGGAAAGCUCCCAACAAGGAAAAAGAAGAAAUGAAAAUCUUUUUCGGUUUUCUCAAAAGGACAAAAAACAGGAAAACAAGAAAACGAAAAUAAACUAGCAUGGAUAAUACAGUGGCAAAGUGUAAACACCGACGAACAAAGUGAAAGCGUAAGCAUGAAUGUAAAGUUGGUGCAAACACAUACUCCCCCAAGCUUAAGCUUUUGGCCUAGCCUGAUCUACUCCCAAGGACGGUCCUGGCGAAACCCAAAAUCAUAAUCGGGGUUAUAUGAGAGUGCUGCAGCCACAGCCUGAAUAGCUGCCUCACAAAGACGAGCAGUCGUCGCCUCCCUCUCGUACUCCUCUACCUCUCCUAUGGUUAUGUAGUAUCUCCGUUUAACCUGAAAGUCAAAGAAAGCAGGAGCAGGAAGGGUAAUAUGGAAAACACGCUGCCGGUUAAAUAUCAAUCGGUAUAGGAGGGAUUCAUCAUCCCUCUCAAGAAACUAGUAGCGUGUCAAAACGACGCAGUCAAGGAAAGAUGUAUCGAGCAGGGGAUCUCCUGCGAGGAUGGGUACUCCAAGAAAAUUUGCUAUGCGAGUGGCAUAGAUGCCGCCAAAGAAAUCUCCCUCAAUAGCGUUCUUAUUUAGCCUCCUUGCUAUAAUAGCUCCCAUGUUGAAGCUUUUCUCACCCGUAACUGUGCUCUUAAGGAUACUAAGGUCGGAUGCGCAUAGGUGACAAUGUUCAACCUUACCGUUAAUGCAUCUACCUAUGAAGAGGGCGAAGUAGUGCAAGGCAGGGAAAUGAAUGCUUCCUAUGGUAGCUUGCGUGAUGUCUCUAGUUUCUCCAAUAGAUAUACUAGAGAAAAAUCUCUAACCGGAGAUUUAGCACGAUCUUUAAGAUGACCCCCAUCGGGUAUUUUGCAAAUCCUAUUGAAAUCCUUAUAAAUCCAUGGCAUAGGAUUUAUCAUACAAAUCAAACAGCAUGGAUGAGUCACGGCCAACUGAAAAUUUAAAUCUACGCACGAAAGAGGCAGUGAGCAUAGCAUACUGUCCACAUUUAUCUGAGAGGAAUUCUUCUAACCCGGCAUUGCGGACAAGCGUAUCAAAAUCAUCCUUGAAGUCUCUUUCGAUCAUGAACUCAUCGGAAGGCCAUUCACAUGGUUGUACCGGUGCGUCCCUUAGUUGAUAAGGAUCGGGCUCCUGAAUAGAAAGACGGGACCCUUCUUACUUGAGGAACCACCAUGAAACUUCCUCCUGAACAUAAUUCCUUUUGCUGAAAUUUUUGAAGUUCAAGAGAAAAGUGAAUAAAGACCAACCACACCUUGUAGCAACUACUCAUACUAGUGCCUAGAGACCGUAUCACGCGCUAAAACUACUUGGGACCAGCUAAAAUCAACAUUUCAAGCUCAAGAACAGGGUCACCAAGGUAGCAAGAAUACGCGAAGGACAAAGCACUAGAGCAAAAACGAAUUGGACCAAUGGAGGAGUCACUUACCAAGGAGCAAUUUCCCCAAAACGGUUCGGAGAAUGAUGCUUCGAGCAAGGAGAUCGAAAAUCACAGCCAAAUGAGCAAGAACACGGUUUUGAGCUGUGAAACAUUUUUUUCUAGAGGAAGAAGAAGAGGAUGGGAGUUGGAAUGAGUGGAGGGGGCCCCUGUGGGCCCCACAAGCUUGCUUGCCGCGGCCAGGGGGUGGCCGCGGUGACAGGGCUUGUGGCCCACUGGGGUGGCCCCCAAGCCAGCUCUCUGUCCUAGUAUUUUUCAAAUAUUCCAGAAAAAAUCAUACUAGAUUUUCAGGACCAUCGGAGAACUUUUAUUUUCGGGGUAUGUUUCUCCGGGACUCUAAAACAGAAGACAUGAAAAACUAAACUAAACCUAUCAUUUUUCUUCUAAGCAAAAGAAAGUGAAAGCUUAAAACAGAGGUAUGUGACUCUCUGAUUCAUCCAUUUCAUGGUCACCGAAAGAAAUCCGUCAAUGGGGUUGAUCAAAUCCUUAUGACAAAACUUUCUCAAAUUGCAAAAGAGAAUGGAGAAUUUUCGAAUAGCCACUAAGUUACCUCAAUGGGGAUAUGUAUCUCCCCAACAAGCAAAUCAUACUUCAUCUUGACACGAGGAAUAGGGCAUUCAAAGCUCCCAAUGAGAAUCGAUGAAGUUUUUUCGAUAGCAUUGAUGCAAUGUACUUGAUAUUGUUUCUUCGGAAAGUGGACGGUAUGCUCAUUAACGUGAACAUGGAAAGUGACAUUGCCUUUGUUGCAAUCUAUAACAGCCCCUGCAGUGUUUAAAAAGGGUCUUCCGAGGAUGACAGCCAUGACAUCAUCCUCGGGAAUAUCCAAGAUAACAAAGUCUGUUAAGAUAGUGGUGUUAGCAACCACAAGAGGGACAUCCUCGCAAAUGCCAACAGGGAAAGCAGUUGAUUUGUCGGUCAUUUGUAGAGAGAUUUCAGUAGGUGUCAACUUAUCCAGUUCAAGUCUACGAUAAAGAGAGAGAGGCAUAACACUAACUCCGGCUCCGAGGUCAAAAUAAGGCAGUUCUUACGUAAUUUCCUUUAAUGGAGCAAGGUAUAGUGGGCACUCCAGGAUCACCAAGUUUCUUAGGAGUUCCACCUUUGAAAGUGUAAUUGGCAAGCAUGGUGGAGAUCUCAAGAUCUGGGAUCUUCCGUUUAUUGGUCACGAUAUCUUUCAUAUACUUGGCAUACGGAGACAUUUUGAGCAUAUCAACUAACCCCAUCUGUAGAAAGACGGGUCUUAUCAUUUCAAUAAAGCGCUCAAAAUCCUCAUCAUCCUUUUUCUUGGAUGGCUUAGGAGGAAAGGGCAUAGGUCUCUGAACCCAUGGCUUCCUUUCUUUACCGUGCUUCCUAGCAGUGAAGUCAUUCUUAUCGUAUCUCUUAGGUAGUGGGUUAUCAGGAUUAACCGUAGGUUCAAUCUCCACAUCCUCAUCAUUGUUAGGUUGAGCAUCAUUAUGAACAUCGCUGUCCAUAUUGUCACCAGGUUCAUGUUCAUCACCAGAUUGUGUUUCUGCAUCAGACGCAGAAAUAUCAUUUGGUUCUUCAGGUGUGACAGUACUUGGUGAACUAACAUGCAGGUUUCUAUCAUCCUUCUUCUUCUCCUUAGGAUGACUGGGUGCAUCUGCAUUAAUUCCUUGAGAAUCUUGAUCAAUUCUCUUAGGAUGACCUUCAGGAUACAAAGGUUCCUGAGUCAUUUUGCCUCCUCUAGUAAUGACUCUGACAGAGUUGUCAUUUAAUUCAUUGAGCAGGUCAUUCUGAGCUUUAAGUACUUGUUCUACCUGAGUAGUAAUCAUAGAGGCAUGUUUACUCAGAAGCUUCAGAUCAUUGACAUUUAUAUCUACACAAGCACUUAAAUGACUAAGCAUACAAGUACUUUGUUCCAAAUGUCUGCUAACAUAAUCAUUGAAACUCUGUUGUUUGGCAACAAAGUUAUCAAAUUCAUCAAAGCAUAGGCUAGCAGGUUUAGCAAAAGGAAUAUCACUCUCAUCAAACCUACGCAGAGAAUUUACUUCCACUACCUGUAUCGGGUUAUCGAGACCAUGGAUCUCUUCGAUAGGUGGUAGAUUUUUGACAUCUUCAGAUCUAAUGCCUUUCUCUUGCAUGGAUUUCUUGGCUUCUUGCAUAUCUUCGGGACUGAGGAAUAGGAUACCUCUUUUCUUCGGGGUUGGCUUAGGAGGUGGUUCUGGAAUAGUCCAAGCAUUAUUGUUGAUCAAGAUGUUAUUCAGUAGAGUCUCAGCUUGUUCUAUAGUUCGUUCCCUAAAAACACAAUGGGCACAACUAUCUAGGUGGUCCUUAGAGGCAUCGGUAAGUCCGUUAUAGAAGAUAUCAAGUAUCUCGUUCUUCUUAAGAGGGUGAUCAGGCAAAGCAUUUGGUAGCUGGACGAGCCUCCCACAAGCUUGUGGGAGACUCUCUUCUUUAGUUGAGCAAAGUUGUAUAUUUCCUGCAAGGCAGCUUGCUUCUUAUGGGCAGGGAAAUAUUUCUCACAUAAGUAAUAGACCAUGUCCUGGGGACUACUCACACAUCCAGGAGCAAGAGAAGCGAACCAGGCUUUAGCAUCAUCCUUUAGAGAGAAAGGAAACAACUUAAGGAUAUAGUAGUGACGGAUCUUUCCUCACUAGUGAAAAGGGUGGCUAUAUCGUAUAGUUCGUCUCAGACUCAUAACCGUGGAAAGGAUCAGAUUCGACUAGAGAGAUUAUCUCAGAAUCGACAGAGAACUCAUAAUUCUUAUCGGUGAUAAAGAUAGGUGAAGUGGCAAACUUCGGGUCGUAUUUCAUCCUAGCUUUCACAGAUUUUUCCUUCCACUCGAGAAGUAAUUUCUCAACGUCAUAGGCAUCCUUACACGCAAGAAAAUCCUCAGCUAUCUCUCCCUCCAUAACGUAACCCUCGGGUAUAUCAGGCAAUUCAUAUCUAGGAGAGCUAGAUGUAGUAGGAGCAAAAGCAGGUUCUAUCUCAAUAGUAUCGGCAGUUUCAGAAGCAUCACGAGCAUUGGCAGUAACUCUAGCAAUAUGAGCAUCAAGGAAUACUCCUAGUGGCACAUCAGGCAAAGUAGUAUCUCCAGCAGUAUCGAGCAUAGCAUCAUCAGGCAAAAUAGCAUCUCUAGCAUCAUCAGGCAUAGCAUCUCUAGCAGUAUCAGGCAUAGCAUCUCUAGCAGUAUCAGGCAUAGCAUCUCUAGCAGUAUCAGGCAUAGCAUGUGUAGCAAUAUGAAGCAUAGCAUCUCUAGCAGUAUCACGCAUAGUAUCAUCAAGCAUAGUGGCAUCAUAAGCAUCAUCAAGCACAGGCGACAUAUCAAGAUUUCUAGCAGGAGGUGAUGUCGCAAACUUACUCAUAACUGAAGGUGACUCAAUUGCAGAGCUAGAUGGCAGUUCCUUACCUCCCCUCGUAGUUGAGGGCAAGACUUUGGUUUUUGGAUCUUUCAGAUUCUUCAUAGUGAUCAGCAGAUAUAAAUCCCAAGUGACUCAGAGAAUAUAGCAAUACCUCCCCGGCAACGGCGCCAGAAAAAUGCUGCUAACGGCAGUCCCCGACAACGACACUAGAAGAAUGUUGUUGACGAGUCACUUGCUUGAUGUCUUCGCAACAACAGAGCCAGAACUGCUCCCAGUUUCUCAACAGUUAGCAAUUGUCUUGCAAUGGCCCACCAGCGCAUGGGUUCGCGGCAGUUUUCGAGGGUAGAGUAUUCGACCCAAAUUUGUUGAUUCGCCAGGCAGGAGGUGAGAGGAUACUCUCGAAUAUUAGCAGCUGAAUGUAUCAGAUUCAACCAAACCUGAAACAUUAGUAUCUGCAAGCAAAGUAUCAGCAGCAAAGUAGUAUGAUAACAAUGGUGUCAGAAACGAUCUGUUGACGGCAGACUAUUCCUAACUGUUGCAUCAAUGGCGCCAGAAGUUGCCAGUUGAGGGAAAUAUUCUUCCCUGUCAACGCCGUGCGAACAAGAAUUGUAGCAGGUAGCAGCAGUGUAACGAGUAUCAGCAGUAGCAAGGAACAACACAGCAAAACAAGUAAUAGCAGUAACGGCAGUAGUGGGACAAACUCAUAGGCAAUGGGUCGGUGGUUCAUUUGGAUGAUAUUCAUCAUGCAACAGUUAUAACACGGAGAUAUAUGUGGCUAGCUCCCGUUCGUCAAUGUGAUGUAGGCAUGCAUUCCGUGUGUAGUCAUACGAGCUUAGGGAAAAGAACUUACAUGACAUCUAUUGUCCAUCCCUCCCGUGGCAGCGGGGUCCAAAAGGAUACUACAGGAUAUUAAGGUUCUCCUUUUAAUAAAGAACCGGAUCAACGCAUUAGCACUUGGUGAACACAUGAACUCCUCAAACUAUGGUCAUCACCGGGACUGGUUCCGGUUAUUUUCACUCCGGGGUUGCCGGGUCGUAACACGUAGUAGGUAACUACAACUUGCAAGAUCGGAUCUAAAAUACACAUAUAUUGGUGACUAAAUAAUAAUUUCAUAUCUGAAAUCAUGGCACUCGGGCCCCAGUAACAAGCAUUAAGCAUGUCAAAGUAGUAGCAACAUCAAUCUCAGAACAUAGUGGAUACUACGGAUCAAUCCCCGUCAAAACUAACUCGAUUACAUGAUAGAUCUCAUCCUACUCAUCACCGCCCAGCGAGCCUACGAAUAGAUUNNNNNNNNNNNNNNNNNNNNNNNNNNNNNNNNNNNNNNNNNNNNNNNNNNNNNNNNNNNNNNNNNNNNNNNNNNNNNNNNNNNNNNNNNNNNNNNNNNNNNNNNNNNNNNNNNNNNNNNNNNNNNNNNNNNNNNNNNNNNNNNNNNNNNNNNNNNNNNNNNNNNNNNNUACUCACGAACGAUGAAUAGCUUCAUGGAAUUGGAGAGGGAAUAAGGUUAAUGAUGACGAUGGCGGCGAUUUCCCCUCUCCGGAGCCCAAAACGGACUCCAGAUCUGUCCUCCAGAUGAAGAACAGGAUGUGGUGGCGCCUCCGUAUCGCAAACGUGACGAAAUCUUCUCUUCUGAUUUUUUUUUCUGGGCGAAAGUGAAUUUAUAGAGCUGAGUUUGGGGGCGGUAGAGCCACGUGGGCCCCACAAACUUGGUUGUCGCGGCCAGGGGGUGGCCGUGGCAACAGGGCUUGUGGCCCACUGGCCCAGCCCCUCCGGUGGAUCUUUGCGCAGGUAUUUUUCAUAUUUUCCAGAAAAAUUCUCCGUAAAUUUUCAGAACGUUCCGAGAACUUUCAUUUCUGCACAAAAACAACACCAUGGCAAUUCUGCUGAAAACAGCGUCACUCCGGAUUAGUUCCAUUCAAAUCAUGCAAAUUAGAGUCCAAAACAAGGGCAAAAGAGUUUGGAAAAGUAGAUACGAUGGAGAUGUAUCACCGAGCACUCAUUGGAAAAGUGUCCGGGCUUUCCACAUUUGUAGCAAUUUUGGUCACGACUACAUGAAUGCUUCUCAUCAUAUCUUGAGCUUGAGCUUCUCUCUUUGCCUCUACUCUUGUAGAACUUGUUGAACUUUCUGACCAUGGGGCUGAUCUCUUCAUUGGUAACAAGGUUGUCACUUGAAGUAGCGGGAGCAUAGACUGAAGCUUCGUAAGCACUGAUUGACUUGUUGUGCAACUCAUCUUUAUCUUUGAGAGAGAUUUCAUGACAAACAAUCCUUCUAAUGACUUCAGUAGGUUUGAGAUUUUUGUAGUUGGGCAUCAUUUGAAUUAAUGUGCACACGGUGUCGUAUCUUCCAUCCAAAGCUCUAAGUAUCUUCUUGAUGAUGAAUUCGUCGAUCAUCUCUUCACUUCCUAAGCUGACAAUCUCAUCUGUGAUGAGAGCUGGCCUAGAGUACAUCUCCGCAAUUCCUUCACAAUCCUUCAUCUUGAAUUUGUCAAGCUGACUUUGAAGCACAUCCAACUUAGAUUACCCGAUAGAAUCGUUACCUUUGUGCAUAUCAAUCAAAGCAUCCCAAAUUUCCUUUGCAUUCUCAAGGCAACUGAUUUUGUUAAAUUCUUCGGGACACAAGUGGUUGAACAGGAUGUCACAUGCUUGAGCAUUGAAUUACAACAUAUUCAAUUCUUCUGUUGUGGCAUCACGAUCCGGUUCUCUUCCUUAUCCAAAUAAAUCACUUUGCACACCAACACGAACAACAGCCCAAACGGAAGGAUUAUGACCAAGAAUAUGCAUUUUCAUCUUAUGGUUCCAACUAGCAAAAUUAGUGCCAUCGAAUUAUGGACCUCUACGGUCAUAAUUUCCCUCACUAGACGCCAUACUCUCCUAGGUUGUGAAACCAAUGCAAUAGAGACAAAAUCUUCGAUACCACUAGUAGGAUCGAAAGUAUGUCUAGAAGGGGGUGAUUAGACUACUUGACAUGAUAAAAACUUAGCCUUUUCCCAAUUUUUAGUGUGGGCCAAUUCUAGCAUCUAUGACUAGUCAAGUAUACCCUACACAUGCAUAUAUAAGAGUAUAGAACCAGAAAGUAAAACAUGCAAGUGUAAAGUAGAGGGUAAGAUAGGGAGAUCAAACACAAAGGUUGAAACGGCGAUUUUUGGCAUGGUUCCGAUAGGUAUCGUACCUCCAGGUUAAUGGAGACUUCAACCCACAAAAGGUAACAACUGCGAGAGUCCACGAAGGGUCCACCCACAAGGGGUCCAUGAAUAAGAGACAUUGUCUAUUCCACAACGGCUUCCAUCCACAAAGGACUAGCCUCACUCACGGUAGAUCUGUUGGGGAACGUUGCAUGGGAAACAAAAUAUUUCCUACGCACACAAAGACCUAUCAUGGUGAUGUUCAUCUACGAGAGGGAGAUCAGAUCCACAUACCCUUGUAGAUCAGUAAGUGGGAAGCGUUAAGAAACACGGUUGAUGUAGUGGAACAGCUUCGUGAUUCAAAUCACCGUCGUCCCAAGAUCCAUUCUGAUCUAGCGCCAAACGGACGACACCUCCGCGUUCAGCACACGUACAGCUCGAUGACGAUCUCUACCUUCUUGAUCCAGCAAGAGAGACGGGGAAGUAGACGAGUUCUCCGGCAGCGUGACGGCGCGCCGGUGAUGGUGAUGAUAUAUUCCUGGAGGUCUCCGCCCGAGCUCCGCAGAAAACCGAUCUAGAGGAAGAACUACGAAGUAGAAGUUUAGGGUUGCACGUGGAAAAGUUGUGUCUCAAAAACCCUAAAACCUCUAGUAUAUCCAGGAGGAGGGGGGGCUAGCCUUGAGGCUCAAGAGAGACUCAAGGGCACCGGCCAAGAGAGGAGGAGGAGGACUCCAACUCCAAUUCGGUUUGGGAAGGAGGAGUCCCCUCCUUCCUUCCCACCCCCUCUUUUUUUCCUUUGGUUUUUGCCUUCUAGCCGACAUAGCCCACUUGGGCUGGCCUCGCCAGCCCACUAAGGGCUGGUGCGCCACCCUUGGGCUAUUGGGUUCUCUCCCGGGUGGGUGGGCCCCUCGCAGUAAAGAACCAGAACCCAUUCGUCACUCCCGGUACACUGUCGGUAAUGCCUGAAAUCUAUCCGGAGGCCAACUGAAACAAUCCUAUAUAUCCAUCUUCGUUUCUGGACCAUUCUGGAAACCCUCGUGACGUCCGUGAUCUCAUCCGAGACUCCGUACAACCUUUGGUCACCAACACCUAUAACUCAACUUUACCGAAACGUCACCGAACCUUAAGUGUGCACACCCUGCGGGUUCGAGAACUAUGCAGACAUGAGCUGAGACACUCCCCGGUCAAUAUCCAACAGCGGUACGUGGAUGUCUAUAUUGGAUCCUACAUAUUCUACAAAGAUCUUAUCGGUUGAACCUCUGUGCCAAGGAUUCAUAUAAUCCCGUAUACCAUUCCCUUUGUUCUUCGGUAUGUUACUUGCCCGAGAUUUGAUCGUCGGUAUCCCUAUACCUAUUUCAAUCUCGUUACCGGCAAGUCUCUUUAGUUGUUCCAUAAUACAAGAUCCCGUGACUAACACAUUGGCCACAUUGCUUGCAAGGCUUAUAUGUGAUGUUGUAUUACUGAAUGGGCCCUGAGAUACCUCUCCGUCACACGGAGUGACAAAUCCUAGUCUUAAUCAAUGCUAACUCAACGGACACCUUCGGAGAUACUUGUAGAGCACCUUUAUAGUCACCCAGUAAUGUUGCGACAUUUGAUACACACAAGGCAUUCCUCCGGUGUCAGUGAGUUACAUGAUCUCAUGGUCAUAGGAAUGAAUACUUGACACGCAGAAAACAAUAGCAACAAAAUGACACGAUCACAUGCUAAGUUUAUAGUUUGGGUCUUGUCCAUCAUGUCAUUCUCCUAACGAUGUGAUCCAAUCAUCAAGUGACAACACUUGCAUAUGGUCAGAAAACCUUAACCAUCCUUGAUCAACUGGCUAGUCAACUAGAGGCUUACUAGGGACAUUGUUUUGUCUAUAUAUCGACACAUGCAUUUAUGUUUUCAUUCAAAAUAAUUAUAGCAUGGAUAAUAAACGAUUAUCUUGAAACAUGAAAUAUAAUAAUAACUAUUUUAUCAUUGCCUCUAGGACAUAUUUCCAAUAGUCUCCCACUUGCACUAGAGUCAAUAAUCUAGUCUCACAUUGCUAUGCGAUUUACAUUGGAAUGAAUCUAACACCUAUACAGUUCUGGUGUUGAUCAUGCUUCGCUCGUGGAAGAGGUUUAGUCAGCGGAUCUGCAACAUUCAGAUCCAUGUGCACUUUGCAAAUAUUUACGUCCUCUCCUUCGAAAUAGUCGCGGAUGAGGUUGAAGCGUCGUUUGAUGUGUCUGGUCUUCUUGUGAAACAUUGGUUCCUUUGCUAGAGCAAUGGCACCAGUGUUGUCACAUAACAGAGUUAUUGGAUUUAGUGUGCUCGGCACAACUCCAAGAUCCCUCAUGAACUCCUUCAUCCAGACACCCUCCUUAGCUGCCUCCGAGGCAGCCAUGUAAUCCGCUUCACAUGUAGAAUCUGCAACGACGCUUUGCUUGGAACUGCACCAGGUUACCGCACCCCCAUUAAGAAUAAAUACAUAUCCGCUUUGAGACUUAGAGUCAUCCGGAUCAGUGUCAAAGCUUGCAUUGACGUAACCCUUUACGACGAGCUCUUCGUCACCUCCAUAAACGAGAAACAUUUCCUUAGUCCUUUUCUGGUACUUCAGAAUAUUUUUGACAGCCGUCAAGUGAUCCACUCCUGGAUUACUUUGAAACCUGCCUGCCAUACUUAUGGCCAGGCUGACGUCCGGUCUUGUGCACAACAUUUCAUACAUGAUAGACCCUAUGGCUGAAGCAUAGGGGACGGUACUCAUCUUUUCUCUAUCUUCCGCAAUUACUGGACACUGAGUCUUACUCAACUUUAUACCUUGUAACAAUGGCAAGAACCCCUUUUUGGACUGCUCCAUUUUGAAGUUCUUCAAAACUUUAUCAAGGUAUGUGCUUUGUGAAAGUCCUAUUAGGCGCCUCGAUCUAUCCCUAUAGAUCUUAAGGCCUAAUAUGUAAGCAGCUUCUCCUAGGUCUUUCAUUGAAAAACAUUUGUUCAAGUAAUCCUUUACGCUCUCCAAAAACUCCACAUUGUUUCCAAUCAGCAAUAUGUCAUCCACAUAUAAUAUUAGAAACGCUACACAGCUCCCACUCACUUUCUUGUAAAUACAAGAUUCUCCAACAACUUGUAUAAACCCAAAUGCCUUGAUCACCUCAUCAAAGCACUCAUUCCAACUCCGAGAUGCUUGCACCAGUCCAUAAAUGGAUCACUGGAGCUUGCAUACUUUGUUAGCAUUCUUUGGAUCGACAAAACCUUCAGGUUGCAUCAUAUACAACUCUUCCAUAAGAAAACCAUUAAGGAACACCGUUUUGACAUCCAUCUGCCAGAUUUCAUAAUCGAAAAAUGCAGCUAUUGCUAACAUGAUUCGGACGGACCUAAGCAUCGCUACCGGUGAGAAUGUCUCAUCAUCGUCAACUCCUUGAACUUGUGAAAAACCCUUUGCCACAAGUCGAGCUUUAUAAACGGUCACAUUAUCGUCCAAGUCCGUCUUCUUCUUAAAGAUCCGUUUGUUCUGAAUAGCCUUGCGACCUCCAGGUAAUACUUCCAAAGUCCACACUUUGUUUCCAUACAUAGAUCCUAUCUCGGACUUCAUGGCCACUAAAAAUUUGCUGGAAUCUGGUCCCACCAUUGCUUCUUCAUAAUUCGCAGGCUCCUUGUUGUCUAACAACAUGAUAGACAAGACAGGAUUCCGUACCACUCAAGAGUAGUACGUGAUCUUGUCGACCUGCGAGGUCCGAUAGCAACUUGAUCUGAAGCCUCAUGAUCAUCAUAGUUAGCUUCCUCCUCAACUGGUGUUGCCUCGAUAGAGAUUUCUCUCUGCCCUGCGCCACCAUCCUGUUGGAGCAGAGGUUCCACAACCUCAUCAAGUUCUAUAUUCCUCCCACUCAAUUCUUUCGAGAGAAACUACUUCUCAAGAAAAGCUCCAUUUUUAGCAACAAACACUUUGCCCUCGGAUCUGAGAUAGAAGGUGUACCCAACUGUCUCCUUUGGGUAACCCACGAAGACACACUUUUCCGCUUUGGGUUCCAGCUUUUCAGGCUGAAGCUUUUGGACAUAAGCAUCACAUCCCCAAACUUUAAGAAACAACAACUUUGGCCUCUUGCCAUACCAUAGCUCAUAUGGUGUCGUCUCAACGGAUUUUGAUGGCGCCCUAUUUAAAGUGAAUGCAGUUGUCUCUAAUGCAUAACCCCACAACAAUAAUGGCAAAUCGGUAAGAGACAUCAUAGAUCGUACCAUAUCUAACAAAGUACGAUUACGACGUUUGGACACACCAUUGCGCCGUGGUGUUCCAGGCGGUGUCAACUGUGAAACGGUUCAACAUUGUCUUAAGUGAGAACCAAACACGAAACUCGGAUAUUCGCCCCCUCGAUCAGAUCGUAGGAACUUGAUCUUCUUGUUACGAUGAUUUUCAACUUCACUCUGAAAUUGCUUGAACUUUUCAAAUGUUUCAUACUUGUGCUUCAUCAAGUAGAUAUAUCCAUACCUACUCAAAUCAUUAGUGAAGGUGAGAAAAUAACGAUAUCCGUCGCGCGCCUCCACACUCAUUGGACCGCACACAUCAGUAUGUAUGAUCUCCAACAAGUCACUUGCACGCUCCAUUGUUCUGGAGAACAGAGUCUUAGUCAUCUUGCCCAUGAGUGAUGGUUCGCACGUGUCAAGUGAUUCGAAAUCAAGUGACUCCAAAAGCCCAUCAGCAUGGAGUUUCUUCAUGCGCUUUACACCAACAUGACCUAAGCGGCAGUGCCAAAAAAAGGUGGCACUAUCAUUGUUAACUCUACAUCUUUUGGUCUCAAUGUUAUGUAUAUGUGUGUCAUCACAAUCAAGAUUCAAUAUUAACAAACCCCUCACAUUGGGUGCAUGACCAUAAAAGAUAUUACUCAUAAAAAUAGAACAACCAUUAUUCUCUGACUUAAAUGAGUAACCGUCUCGCAAUAAACAAGAUCCAGAUAUGAUGUUCAUGCUUAACGCAUGCACUAAAUAACAAUUAUUUAAGGUCAUAACUAAUCCUGAUGGUAACUGAAGUGAGACUAUGCCGACGGCGAUUGCAUCAACCUUGGAACCAUUUCCCAUGCGCAUCGUCACUUCAUCCUUCGCCAGCCUUCGUUUAUUCCACAAUUCCUGCUUCAAGUUGCAAAUAUGAGCAACAGAACCGGUAUCAAAUACCCAGGAACUACUACGAGAGUUGUUUAAGUACACAUCAAUAACAUGUAUCACAUAUACCUGGUUUGGCGUUGGCCGCCUUCUUAUCAGCCAAAUACUUGGGGCAGUUGGGCUUCCAGUGACCCAUCCCCUUGCAAUAAUAGCACUCUGUUUCCGGCUUACGUCUAGUGUACGGUUUCUUCGUCGGAUUGGCAACAGUUUUGCCGCUCUUCUUGGAGUUACCCUUCUUGCCUAUGUCGUUUCUCUUGAAACCAGUGGUCUUAUUGACCAUCAACACCUGAUGUUCUUUCCGGAGUUCUGACUCUGCGACUUUCAGCAUCGCGAAUAACUCGUCAGGUGACUUGUUCAUCCCUUGCAUGUUAUAGUUCAACACAAAGCUCUUGUAGCUAGGUGGCAGUGAUUGAAGAAUUAUGUCAGUGAUAGCCUCUUGCGGAAGUUCAACUCCCACCUCAGCUAGACGGUUUGAGUACCCAAACAUUUUGAGCACAUGUUCACUGACAUACGAAUUCUCCUCCAUUUUGCAAGCAUAGAAUUUAUCAAAGGUCUCAUACCUCUCAAUCUGGGCAUUCUUCUGAAAGAUAAACUUCAACUCCUGGAACAUCUCAUAUGCUCCAUGAUGUUCAAAGCAUCAUUGAAGUCCCGGUUUUAAGCCAUACAAGGCUGCACAUUGAACUACUGAGUAGUCCUCCUUACGUGCUUGCCAAGCAUUCAAAACAUCUUGAUCAGACGUAGCGGGUUGUUCAUCUCCUAGCGCAGGAUCAAGGACAUAAUUCUUUUUCCCAGCUUGUAGGAUGAGCCUAAGAUUACGAGCCCAGUCUACAAAGUUGCUAUCAUCAUCUUUUAGCUUAGCUUUCUCUAGGAACGUAUUGAAAUUCAGGGUUGCUACUACAUGAGCCAUUGAUCUACAACAUAAAAUAUUGCAAAGUGGACUUAGACUAUGUUCAAGACAAUUAAGUUUUAAAUAAUCAAAUUACUAAUAAAACUCCCACUCAAAUAGACAUCCCUCUAGUUACUUGAGUGUGGCAUGAUCCAAAUUCACUAACUCAAGUCCAAUCAUCACAUGAGUUGAGUGUAGUUUCAGUGCUAAACAUCUCUAUGCUAAUCAUAUCGACUAUACGAUUCAUGCUCGACCUUUCAAUCUCUUGUGUUCUGAGUCCAUGUCUGCACAUGCUAGGCUUGUCAAGUUUAACCCGAGUGUUCCGCGUGUGCAACUAUUUUGCACCCGUUGUAUGUGAACGUUGAGUCUAUCACACCCGAUCAUCACGUGGUGUCUUGAAACAACGAACUGUCGCAACGGUGCACAGUCGGGGAGAACACAACUUUAUCUUGAAAUUUUAGAGAGGGGUCACCUUAUAAUGCUACCGUCGUUCUAAGCAAGAUAAGGUGCAUUACAAGGAUUAUCAUCACAUGCAAUUCAUAAGUGACAUGAUAUGGCCAUGAUCUUGAGCUUCUUGAUCUCCAUCACCAAAGCACCGGCAUGAUCUUCAUCGUCACCGGUGCCACACCAUGAUCUCCAUCAUCGUGCCGCCAUCGAGGUUUUCAUGCUAUCUAUGCUAUUACUACUAAAGCUACAACCUAGCAAUAUAGUAAACACAUUUGCAAACACAAACAUUAGUUUAAAGACAACCCUAUGGCUCAUGCUGGUUGUCGUAGCAUCAACGUGCAAGUCGAUAUUUAACUAUUACAACAUGAUCAUCUCAUACAUCCAAUAUAUCACAUCAUGACUUUGGCCAUAUCACAUCACAUGCACACCUUGCAAAAACAAGUUAGACGUCCUUUAAUUUGUCGUUGCAUGUUUUACGUAGCUGCUACGGGUAUCUAGUAUGAUCGCAUCUUACUUACGCAAAACCACAACGGAAAUGUGCAAAAUGCUAUUUAACCUUUCUCCAAGAACCGCCUCGGUCAAAUCCAAUUCAACUAAAGUUGAAGAAAUAGGCACCCGCCAGUCAUCUUUAUGCAACAAGUUGCAUGUUAGUCGAUGAAACAUGUCUCUCGUAAGCAUACGAGUAAUGUUGGUCCGGGCCGCUUCAAUCCAACAAUACUGCCGAAUCGAGAAAAGACUAAGGAGGGCAGCAAAUCGAACAUCAACUCCCACACAAAAAUUUGAGUUUUACUCGAGAUUACAUCUACGCAUGAACAUAGCUCAUGAUGCCACUGUUGGGGAACGUUGCAUGGGAAACAAAAAAAUUCCUACGCACACGAAGACCUAUCAUGGUGAUGUUCAUCUACGAGAGGGAGAUCGGAUCCACAUACCCUUGUAGAUCACAAAGAGGGAAGCGUUAAGAAACGCGGUUGAUGUAGUGGAACAGCUUCGUGAUUCAAAUCAUCGCCGUCCCAAGAUCUAUUCCGAUCUAGCGCCGAACGGACGACAGCUCUACAUUCAGCACACGUACAGCUCGAUGACGAUCUCCGCCUUCUUGAUCCACCAAGAGAGACGGGGAAGUAGAUGAGUUCUCCGGCAGCGUGAUGGUGCGCCGCUGAUGGUGAUGAUCUAUUCCUGCAGGGCUCCGCCCGAGCUCUGCAGAAAACCGAUCUAGAGGAAGAACUACGAAGUAGAGGUUUAGGGUUGCACGUGGCAAAGUUGUGUCUGAAAAACCCUAAAACCUCUAGUAUAUAUAGGAGGAGGGGAGGGGCAAGACUUGAGGCUCAAGAGAGACUCAAGGGCGCCGGCCAAGAGAGGAGGAGGAGGACUCCAACUCCAAUUCGGUUUAGGGAGGAGGAGUCCCCUCCUUCCUUCCCACCUCCCUCUUUUUUUUCCUUUGAUUUUUUCCUUCUAGCCGAAAUUGCCCACUUGGGUUGGCCUCACCAGCCCACUAAGGGCUGGUGCGCCACCCUUGGGCUAUUGGGUUCUCUCCCGGAUGGGUGGGCCCCUCCCGGUAAAGACCCGGAACCCAUUCGUCACUCCCGGUACACUGUCGGUAAUGCCCGAAAUCUUUCCGGAGGCCAAAUAAAACAAUCCUGUAUAUCAAUCUUCGUUUCUGGACCAUUGUGGAAACCCUCAUGAUGUAUGUGAUCUCAUCCGGGACUCUGAGAAACCUUCGGUCACCAACACCUAUAACUCAACUUUACCGAAACAUCACCGAACCUUAAGUGUGGAGACCCUGUGGGUUCGAGAACUAUGCACACAUGAAAUGGGACACUGCCCGGUCAAUAUCAAAUAUCGGGACCUGAUCUCCAUAUUGGAUCCUACAUAUUCUACGAAGAUCUUAUCGGUUGAACCUAUGUGCCAAUGAUUCAUAUAAUCACGUAUACCAUUCCCUUUGUCCUUCGGUAUGUUACUUGCCCGAGAUUUGAUUGUUGGUAUCCCUAUACCUAUUUCAAUCUCGUUACCGGCAAUUCUCUUUACUCGUUUCGUAAUACAAGAUCCGGUGACUAACACAUUAGCCACAUUGUUUGCAAGGCUUAUAUGUGAUGUUGUAUUACUGAGUGGGCCCCGAGAUACCUCACCGUCACACGGAGUGACAAAUCCCAGUUUUGAUCAAUGCUAACUCAACGGACACCUUCGGAGAUACUUGUAGAGCACCUUUAUUGUCAUCGAGUAACGUCGAUGUUUGAUACACAUAAGGCAUUCCUCCGGUGUCAUUGAGUUACAUGAUCUCAUGGUCAUAGGAAUGGAUACUUGACACGCAGAAAACAAUAGCAACAAAAUGACACGAUAACAUGGUACGUUUAUAGUUUGGGUCUUGUCCAUCACGUCAUUCUCCUAAUGAUGUGAUCCAGUCAUCAAGUGAUAACACUUGCAUAUGGUCAGAAAACCUUAAUCAUCCUUGAUCAACCGGCUAGUCAACUAGAGGCUUACUAGGGACAUUGUUUUGUCUAUAUAUCCACACAUGCAUUUAUGUUAUGAUUCAGUACAAUUAUAGCAUGGAUAAUAAAAGAUUAUCUUGAAACGGGAAAUAUAAUAAUAACUAUUUUAUCAUUGCCUCUAGGGCAUAUUUCCAACAAGAUCUGCAUGAAGUAGGCGAUCUCCUUUCCCUUACAAACACCUUGGUUUAACUCCACAACAUGAAGUAGGAGGCUCCCAAGAGACACCUAACCAAUCUAGGAGGCACCACCCUCUAAAAGUUAAUAGAUGUGGUAGAACAAUAAACUCCUUGUUCUUGUGCUUCAAAAGAUAGUCUCCUCAACACUCAAUCACUCUCUCUCAGAUUGGGCAGGGGUCGGAGCGAUUGAUCUUGUGGAAAGCACUUGGGGAGGCUAGAAAUCAAGGUUCGAAUGAUUGGAAUGGAAUCUCUAGAUCUCAACACAUGAGUAGGUGGCUCUCUCUUAGAAAAAUGGAUCUGGCAAGUGUAAGUGUGAUCUAAGUGCUUCCUCUAUGAAUAAGAGGUAGGUGGAGGGGUAAAUAUAGGCAUCCCCCAAAAUCCAACCGUUACACAUUAUUGCCCAACUCGGUGACAUCAAAAUGAAUCUCGGUGGUACCGAGUUGCACUAAAUGUGGCAACUUUUGAAUUCUCAAUGAGACCGAAAUAGGAAUCUCGGUGCUACUGAAACGAUGACCUAGACUGGUUUCCAAACUUUAGCCAAUCCUAGUCCUUCUCUUGCAUCAAAGGGCCAUCUGUUGGAAAUAUGCCCUAAAGGCAAUGAUAAAAUAGUUAUUAUUAUAUUUCUUGUUUCAAGAUAAUCGUUUAUUAUCCAUGCUAUAAUCGUAUUGAAUGAAAGCAUAGAUACAUGUGUGGAUAGAUAGACAAAACAAUAUCCCUAGUGAGCCUCUAGUUGACUAGCCAGUUGAUUAAGGAUGGUUAAGGUUUUCUGACCAUAUGCAAGUGUUGUCACUUGAUGACUGGAUCACAUCAUUAGGAGAAUGAUGUGAUGGACAAGACCCAAAUUAUAGUCCAAGGGUGGCUCACCAGCCCUUAGUGGGCUGGUGUGGCUAGCCCAAGUGGGCUAUGGCUCUGGGAAAGAAAAAAGCAAACGAAAAGGAAAAUAGAGGGAGGUGGGAAGGAAGAGGAGGACUCCUCCUUUCCCAAACCGAAUUGGAGUUGGAGUCCUCCUCUCCUCUCUCGACCGACGCCCUAGGGGCUCCCUUGAGCCCCAAGGCUAACCCCUGCCCUCCUCCGAUAUAUACUAGAGGUUUUAAGGUUUUUGAGACACAACCUUGCCACGUGCAACUCAAACCUCUACUUCAUAGUUCUCCCUCUAGAUUGGUUUUCCGCGGAGCUCGGGCGGAGCCCUGUAGGAUUGGAUCAUGACCAUCACCGGCGUGCCGUCACACUGUCGGAGAACUCAUCUACUUCCCCAUCUCUCUUGCUGGAUCAAGAAGGCGGAGAUCGUCAUCGAUCUAUAUGUGUGUUGAACGCGGAGGUGCCAUCCGUUCGGCGCUAGAUCGGAACGGAUCGUGGGACACCAGUGAUUUGAAUCAUGAAGCUGUACCACUACAUCAACCGCGUGUCUUAACGCUUCCCGCUUAGCGAUCUACAAGGGUAUGUGGAUCCGAUCUCCCUCUCAUAGAUGGACAUCACCAUGAUAGGUCUUCGUGUGCGUAGGAAUUUUUUUUACCCAUGCAACGUUCCCCAACACCAUCUCCACACAAUCCUAUAGCCAAAGCAUCUUUAAACUUUUCUGAAAUGUACUUGGAUGAAUUCAUUAGUCCAAUGGUACAUACAUUGUGAUUAAUUACACAAACUACCAUAGGGAGCAAUUGUGCUUUCACCUUGACAAGACCGAAACAUACCUUUAUAACUACCCAAUUGUGGAGUAGCAUUCGAUCGGCUGAAAGCAAGUUUGUCACCAUCCUGAGUACAUGCGCUAGCUCAGAUCUUAGGACAACGUAUGUUGUACUAUAGAAUUACAUAUGACUUAUCGUUGUGUCUCAUAGUUUGGUGUGUCCAACUUGUUAUCUCGACUCGGAUUUGAAUACGUCGAAUCUGAACAGAUCUUUCUUAGUCCAUACGAUCUGGCUUGCAUCCGAUGCUACAUGGUCAGUAAGACCGACCCAUCCAGCAUGUCAUAUGCUAGUCUACUUGGUUGCGCAUCCACACAACCCUUUCGACUAGGGACCAUUUAGGAAAGUCAUCAUACAAUCCAUAGUCUCACAAAUAAGUCACGUACUUGUUAAUACACAUCACUGAUAAUGUCCAAGGACUAUAUUUAUUCAAAAUCACAUAGGAAAUAUCAUCAUACAUGAUUCACUCAUCAUAAGUCAUAGGACUCUGAGUCUUGCUUAGCCUUAUACCAUGUGAUACGGGCAAUAACUCUUUAUUGGCCUCACUCAUGUUGAACUGCUUCAACACUUUGCCUAUGUACGUGCUCUGGCUUAAGCCAAGAAACAUGCUCGAUCUAUCUCUAUAGACCUUGAUGCCUAAAAUAUACACUACUUCUCCAAGGUCUUUCAUCGAAAACUUGCCAUUCAAUGCUUCCUUGACUUAGUUCAGCAUCGAAACAUCACUUUCGAUCAACAGUAUGUCAUCCACAUACAAGACCAAAAACACUAUCAAGCUCCCACUAGACUCUUUGUAUAAACAAUAGUCCUCUUUGUUCUUGCUGAAACCAAGGUCAAUGAUGACUUCAUCAAAACAAACAUUCGAACUCCAAGCUACUUGCCUCAAGACAUAAAUGGGACUAUUGAGCUUGAAUGUUUUACCAGUGUUAGUUGGAUCGACAAAACCUUCCGGUUGUAUCAUGUAUGCAUCCUCUAUAAAUUUUCAUGAAGGAAAGCCAUUUUGGCAUCCAUCUUCCAUAUCUCAUAAUAGAAAUAUGCAACUAUAGCUAGUAUGAUCCUAACCGAUUUUAGCAUCACUUCCGAAGAGUAGGUCCCGUCGUAGUCAAUUCCUUCAACCUGACCAUAACCUUUGGCGACAAGCCGAGCAUUGUGGAUCUGAACAUUUCCAUCCACAUCAUUCUUCUUUUUAAAGACACAUUUGCAACCAAUGGCUAUUACGCCAUGCGACGGAUCUACCAAGUACCAAACUUGAUUGUCAUCCAUGGACUUCAACUCAUAUCUCAUGGCCUAUACGCAUGCCUCAGAAUCUAGGCUAACCAUCGCUCUCGCAUAUGUGGCCGAAUAAUCACUUUCUAGCAACAACACAUCAUGCACUUUGCAUAAUCUUUCCGACCUGUGUGGCUCCGGUGCUGACUACGUUAUGGGUUCCCUCACUAACUCCCGUAUGAUCUCACUACCAGCUGAGUCAUCCCUGAGUGGCUCUUGUAUUUCUUUGAGUCACACCGCUCUCCCACUAGCUUCUCAACUGAGAAACUCUACCUUUAGGAAAAAAAACUGUUCUGAGCAACAAACACUUUGUUCUCUUCUUGGUUGUACAAGUUGUAUCCCAAGGUUUCCCUCGGAUAUCCCACAAAUAUGCAUUUAUACGACUUGGGUGUAAACUUGUCCGACAUGAGUCACUUGAAAAAUGCUUCACAACACCAAAUCUCUAGAAAAGAAAAACUAGGACUCUUCCCUAUCCAUAUCACAAGUGGUAUCAUUCUGUGGAUUUUGAUGGUACCCUCUUAAGUGUGGAAGUUGUAGUUUCUAGAGCAUGUCCCUAGAAUGACAAGGGUAAGUUCAAAUUUCUCAUCACAGACCGUACCAUGUCUAACAAAGUUUGAUUUCUUCGUUCUGGCAUGUCGUUUCUCCAUGGCAUACCCGGAGGUGUGAGCUCACUACAAGAAAUAAGCUCGUUUAUGACAAAAAAUAAUGGCCGCGGUUGAAUUGGUCAUAGAUCUAUGACUAAAAUUUACAAGAAGGUCAUGAGGUGUCUAAGAGGGUCCAAACCCCAGAAAUUUUUGACCAUCUCUAUCAACAAGGUCAUAAUCCCAUUACACAAAAUGGUCACUGGCAUGUGUAGCUCUAUUUAUGCUCGCAUUGUAGGUCCUCCAUGACAAAAUUAAGAAGGUCAUAGGCUUAAAUAGAGGUGACUGGGCAGACAACUCGACAAUUUUUCCUAUGUGUCUUGUAUAGGUGCCGACAAGGCCACAAAGUAUAAGUACGUUCAGAGGUCGGACCCAUAAGUUGAAUUGUUGACCCAACUUACUUGUGGCAUCGAGAUUCGACGUGUGGGGCCGUGUUGGACCCACUGACUUCCUGUCAUGCGCGGGGAGGCUACCCUAGCUCGCAGGUGGGACCAACUAAUUGGGCAUGCUAAUGAAGGAUGUGUUCAAAAGAAGAUAGCUUAACUUGGUAUUUCAGAAAAAAAAUACACAUUAUCUGUCAAAUCCCUGAUCCCAAUUAGGGUUUAGCAAGUUUGAGCUCAUAUUUUCUUCCAUUGCAUCUUAAGAUUUUGAAUUGCACUCAAGGAAGGAAAAUAAAUCCAAAUCAAAGUAAAGAAAACCAAAGCAAAACCCUAGCCAUCUUUUAUUCAAAAGAAUUCCAACAAGUGCCAAAUCAAUGAACCCAAAAUGGCCAUUAGAAAAGUUCAUCCUUUCUGAUAAAUGUAGAAAAUAAUAUAUCAGAGAUGAAACCUAUUUUCAAAAUACUUUUGCCAUUUUAAAUUGAAGUUAAAAGCUACUGAAAUCAACUAUAUAUUUGAUUUCAAAUAAUUCAAAGUUUCCAAAAAUGUUGAAAACUUUACGAGUGGUUGGAAAUAUUCCAACUAACACUCUGGUAGUUUUCAAACUAUUUUAGGAAUAGUUUGGAGCCAAAAAUAAAACAAAACAAAUGUCAGAAAGAAAAAAAAACAGAAAAGAAAAGAAAUGCAAAAAGUCUUACCUGUCGCUCACCUGGCCCAGGCCCAGCUGCUCCCCGUCGUCUUCCUUGCCAGCGAGCAGCAGGAGGUGGCCGCCACUCGUUCCGGCGCGGCCACGCACCUGUGCGUCUGCCUGGCCACCGCAUCGCGCUGGCGCACAGGGGAUAAGCUCCCCGAAGGCCUUCCCGUGCUCAUCCCCUCGCCAUUCGACCCUACUCUCUUCUCCCCUCUCGUCCGCCAUGACCGCAAGCUUGAGCUCGAGCUCGCCGUCACUCCAGCCACUCUCCCUCUCACCUGAGCUGCGCGUUAGCUUCGCCGUGAUCUCCUAAAACUCUCCAGCCAGUCGCUCGAUGCCGAGAAGCUCUGAAACGCUGUGACGCCGUCAUCUUCCUCCUCGGGUCACCGAAGCUCGCCACCGUCGUUCUCCCUCCUCAGGCCAUCCCCGAGCCCACUCUCGAUGCCUCUGCACUCCCCGUGAGCUCAGGGUUCUUUCCCCCAAGUUUUACCCCUCGAUCCCUUCCUCUAGGCCCCGAUUCCACUGGAGCCCGACGAGAUCCGCCGCGGAACCUCGUCGCCGGUAGCUCGCCGGUGAUCGGCUGGUCAUUCUGAGGCCACCAAUGGCUUCAGUGCGUCGCGUACAUGGUGUAGGAGCAAAGCCCCGCGCGAAAUGCCCUCUGUUUUGAUGAUCCCAUUAUAGCCCGAGCUUCGGCCUCCGCCAAGCUCGUCACCGGCGUUAUCUCCGGCCAUCUUAGCCUCGGUUCUUUGCAGAAAUGGAACUGCGGCUGAGUGCUGGUUCGUUUGGUGCCCUGCGCGUGAAGUUUGGUCGCCGGAAUGAGAUUCCCGAGCCCGUCCGCCACCUGUGUGGUCGCCGGAGGCUCACCGCUAGCGAGAUCGACCUCGCCGCCGGUGGAUCUGACUCCCCAGAGUCACUGGCAUGUGGCGCCAGCCCCCUGACUAAUUAAGUUAGGUUAAUAAAAAUAAUUAAUUAAAUAAAAGCUUAAACGAACACUGACAGGUGAGUCUUACUCUGUAAAUUAGAUAAUUAAGUUAAAUUUAAACUAAGACAUGGCCAAAGUCACUGACCAGUGGGUCCCACUGGUCAGGUUUGACUUUCAGCGGCCAGUUGGACCUGCUGAUGUCAUGCUGAUGCAAUAAAACCUUUACAGUUUAAAAACAAUUCCAGAAUAAGUUCAAAACUUUGGAAAUUCAUAGAAAAUUGAAUAUAACUCCAAAUUUGACCAAUAAUAUAUGUAAAAGGAUCAGAAAAAUUCAAGGAAUCCAAUGGUGCUAUUUUCAUGCAUGAAGAACAAAGUGAUGAAACAAGAUCAGGUCAAAUCAAUUAAAAGAAUAUGAUAAAUUAUAAUUCAAAUGAUAUUUGAAUUAUGAUUUCAAAUCAAGAUCACCCAAAGGGUUCUGCUAGUCAUCUCAAACCAUGCUACAUUGCAUUUCAUGCAUCAUUUUGUUGCAUAUGUUUGAUAUUGAUUGAUUGUUGUUAUUCCGGUAGGCUCCGCCCCUCCGGAUACAUCUGAUUAUCCGACUCACGGAUAUCACCCCUCUGCUGAGCAACAAGGCAAGCAACUAUUUUGAUCAUCUCGAUAAAUCCCAUGUUCUCGCUCCUGCUCUUACUUAAUGCAUUAGGUCAAAAUGCUUUCAACGCUUUUACCACGUUAGUUGAACCCACUUCCUUUGCAUGACCUGUCCUUGUCACGGUAAAUAGCUGAACCUUGCAACCUAGCAUACCUGGUAGAUGCUUGAGCCAUGAUGUGUCUUUUCCUGCAAUGCAUGCUAUGCUUAGAGUUGUGUAUGGUCUGUCAUCUGGGUGAUGAACAGGAUCGUGAGAAUGUGUUGAGUUAGUAAAGGUUGUGUGUUGACCCUGAUUUGGUAAAGGUACUGGUGAAAGGCUAUGUAGGAGUACAUGGCGGGUUGUUUCAUUGGAACCGUCCUUAGGAACUGAGUUCCGUGUAUGUAAUCCAUGACAAGAUACUACCACAUGCUGGGCCCUGAAAUAUGACCCCGCUCAACUUAUUAACCGCUUAGUACUCGGUCCAGGAGUUGCAAGUAGUUUCUGGUGUUUAUAGUCAUGCUGGAGGCCGUGCGUAGCGCUGACCUUAGAGGUGGGCUAUGAUGCGGUAGGCAGUGGCACGGUGUACCAAGUGGCACCCGGAUGGUGGGCUUGGGAACCCUGCGCACAUCGUUUGGGACCAUGGCGGAAUCCUCGGCCGGACUUCCGUGCGGGUUACCCUCAGAUAGGCGAUAGACCUCGACUAAGUAUUAGCGUGGUUAACGGUUGUGGCCGACUCCCUCGUUGGGCUUCCGCUUGAAGGUUGCCGAGGUGCAUGCUGUGCACAUGGUGAUAAGUGGCAAGAGUGUGUGUGAAGAAGUACACCCCUGCAGGGUUAUGAUCUAUUCGAAUAGCCGCGUCCGCGGAUAUGGACUACUUGGAAACAUAUGUUGUUCAUAGAUAACUAUAAUGGCUACUCAUAAAAUUGUCAAGAUAAGUGUGAGUGUCGUGGACGACAUUUUCGUAGGGAGACGGAAUGAUUCCACGAUGGAGUAUUGUUGUGGUGUUAGUGGACUCGUGUGCGAGAAAUCAAAGUUGUCAGAAUUAUUCAAAAAUGCAAGUUGUCUAGCCAAGAGUCAAAUCCUGGCUUUCCGCAUGAAACGCCACAACUCCUUGUUGAUACAUUGCAUGAGUAGAUAGAUUUCCUAAAGUCUUGCUGAGUACUUUCGUACUCACAUUUGCUUAAUAAAUUGUUGCAGAGAUUGUUAAUGACCCUAAUGGAGGGUUCUACCUAGACGUUGACGAUGACGAGUAGCUGGUAUCACAGCUACGAUCUGGCCCUAGGUUGGGUCUGUAGAUAGUCAGACCAUGUGCCUUUAUCUUUCCAUCUGUCUGUACUCAGACAGUUUUAAUCUUCCGUUGCAUUGUAAAACUCGUAUGUAUGACUUGUGAUGAUGGGUCGUAAGACCCCUAUCUGUGUAAUACUAUAUGUGAGGUUCUUCCGAGCCAUCUAAAUAAAGGUUGUAUGUUUAUGGUUAUGUUGUGAUGCCAUCGAUGUAUCUAUAUAUAUCGGUAUGCCAUGCAUACAUGUGUUGUGCUUGAUAUGUAUGGGGUUCGAAUACCUAGUCGUAUGCCUUAGUAGCACCUCUUACGGGGAAAUGCCCCUUUGUGAUUCCAUCGAGCCAUGGUAGUUCGCUACUGCUCCGGACACAUUGGUUGACCGGCAUGUGUCCUUCUUAGCUGCUAUGUCUGUCCCUUUGGGAAAUGUCACGCGUUGUAAUGGAGUCCUUGUAGCUUGCUACGACUCGUCUACAUUCGCUGAUGACCGACACCUGCUUUGCUGGGUCAUGUAUGCCUGUCCGUGUACGGAAAUGCUGCUUGAGUUUAUGUCUAGACAUGUCGAUCUGGGUUCUUUAACAUUGGAUUGCUAGCGACACAAUUGCAUACGCGAGUCAAAAGGCGCAAACGGUCCCGGCUAAGGUAAUGCUGCAGCCGUGGGGAUAACCGUGCGUGAGACCGCAAAGAGAUGCGAUGUGUUACAUGCUGGAUUUCUAUGGCUUAGGAUCGGGGUCCCGACAGCGUUGGUAUCAGAGCCUGACUGAUUGUAGGAUUACUAAGCCAAACUGGUCGAAGUUGAGUCUAGAAUUGCUUUAGUUAUACAGAAGGGAAUUGUUUGUGGAAGGGAACGUAAGACUCUUGCUUCUCUUCUCGAGUUAUUCUAUUCUGGUCAUCCUCGUCUUUUCUGCGGGGAUUAAGAACUAGGUUACUUAUCUUUCUCUCAAGAUCAUGUGUUAUUGAUCGGUAGGUUAUAGGACAACGAGUCGAGAGUUACCUCAAGUUUCUCCUAUUUCAAGGAAAAGAAAGUAAGUUUUGAUGACCAUGGAAUUGAACUUGAUAGUUGAGUGGUUAUGCUAUCCUAUCUUUGUGGGUUGUCUCAAAAUUAUUUUUGAGCAUUUACAGCCGUUAUGCUGCCCAAUUUUGUCUUCAAAGCUUUAAUGCUUUUUCAUUACUCUCUAUUUUCGGAUGCUUGGCCGUCCUUCUCGUCAGGUGGUCCGUCUGACUAGGUGCACUGAUGUGCCGGGUCACACAGCCAUGCUAGUCAGGAUGAUAUCAGUAUCCGGUUACUGAUGGUACCUAGAGUAUACAGUGGAGGAGCAGUACCGGGAUUUUAAUCAAAGUCAGUAUCUCUACACUUUUAGGGUAUUCCCAGGUUACCCUGGAGCUGAGGAGCCGAUCCAUUGGUCUUAUGGAUUGGGGGUUGAUGUUUGCUGUGUAUCCCUUUUAAUGGCGCCAGAAAUAGUUGUGUCGACGGCACCAUGAAUCCUUCAGCUACGGCUACGCCUUAAGGGACUUCCUAGGCAAGUAUGCAAAGGAUUUCCCCCGUGGCCUUGGAGCCUUGCAUUGCUGUUCCCUCGAAGCGGAAAGGGUGAUGUAGCACAGCGGCGGUAAGUAUUUCCCUCAGUUUGAGAACCAAGGUAUCAAUCCGGCGGAAGAGUAUCUCAAGAUCCUGCACAAACACAAAAGCUUGCACCCAACGCUAUGAAGGGGUUUUCAAUCCCUUAUAGAUUGUUUGCCAAGUGAGAACUGAAAGCAACAAAGUAACAAAGCAAAGUAAAAGCGGAGAUGUAAACGAUGGAUGUGAAUAGACCCGGGGGCCGUAGUGUUUACUAGUGGCUUCUCUCAUGAAAGCAAGUAGACGGUGGGUGAAAAAAUUACUCGGAGAGACUUACAAGGAUAUCAAAUCAUGCAUAUAAGAAAUCAGCAAAGACUCAAAUAUAUAUCAUAGAUAAUUUGAUCACAAGUCCACAAUUCAUCGGAUCUCGACAAACACACCGCCAAAGAAGAUUACAUCGGAUAGAUCUCCAUGAAGAUCAUGGAGAACUUUGUAUUCAAGAUCCAAGAGAGAGAAGAAUCCAUCUAGCUACUAACUGUGGAAUCGUAGGUCUGGAGUGAACUACUCACGAGUCAUUGGAGGGGCGAUGAUGAUGAAGAAGAAGCCCUCCAACUCCAAAGUCCCCUCCGGCAGGGUGCCGGGAAGGGUCUCUAGAUGAGAUCUCGCGGAAACCGAAGCUUGCGGCGGUGGAAAAGUAUUUUCGAGGCUCUCCUGAUUUUUUGCGGAAUAUUUGGGAAUAUAUAGGCGCAAGACCUAGGUCAGGGGGCGGCCAGGGAGGCCACAAGCCUGCCCACCGCCGCCUCCCCCCUGGUGGCGGAGUGGGGGCUUGUGGGCUCCCUGGAGCCAACCUGGCUUGGCCCAAAAGCCCACUGGACUUCUUCCUUUUGGGAAAAAAUCAUUUCGGGGUUUUUCUUCCGUUUGGACUCCAUUCCAAAAUCAGAUCUGAAAAGAGUCAAAAACACGGAAAAAACAGGAACUGGCACUUGGCACUGAAUUAAUAAGUUAGUCCCAAAAAGAUAUAAAAAGGUACAUAAAACAUACAAAGAAGGCAAGAUAACAGCGUGAAACCAUCAAAAAUUAUAGAUACGUUUGAGACGUAUCAAGCAUCCCCAAGCUUAACACCUGCUCAUCCUCGAGUAGGGAAGUGAUAAGAAUGAAUUUUUGAUGCUUUCAUGCUACCUAGCAUUGGUGUCCUUUGUAAUUCCUCUUAUGUGACGUGAAUGUUCAGAUCCAUUAGAUUCAAACAAUAGUUUGCUAUUGACGUGGAAACAAUAAUAAUUCAAGCAAACUAGCAAAGUAAUCAUGAACUUUCAAAAUAACAAGGCCAAAAGAAAGUUAUCCCUACAAAAGCAUAUAGUCUGGCUAUGCUCUACCAUCAUUGCACAACGAAUUUAAAUCAUGCACAACCCCGGUAUUGGCCAAGUAAUUGUUUCACACCUUUACUUUCUCAAACAUUUUCAACUCUCACGCAAUACAUGAGCGUGAGCCAUGGUUAUAGCACUAUAGAUGGUGUGGAAUGUGGUGGGGGUUGCAAGACAAAAAGGAGAAGAUAGUCACAUUAACUAGGCAUAUCAAUGAGCUGUGGAGAUGCUCAUCAAUAGAUAUCAAUGUGAAUGAGUAGGGAUUGCCAUACAAAUGAUGCACUAGAGCUACAAGUAUGUGAAAGCUCUUAAAGAAAACUAGUGGGUGUGCAUCCAACUUGCUUGCUCACAAAACCUAAGGCAAUUUUGAGCAAGCCUAUCAUUGGAAUAUACAAGCCAAGUUAUAUAAUGAUAAUUUCCUACUAGCUAUAUGGUGGUGACAAAACGAGAGACUCUCAAUCAUGAAGAUCAUGGUGCUCAAUAUGCACAAGUGUGGUAAAAGUGGUAGCAUUGUCCCUUCUCUCUUUUUCUCUCAUUUUUUUUAUUUUGGUGGGCUCUUUGGACUCUUUUUAUGGGCUUCUUUGGUCUCUUUUAUUUCCUCACAUGGGACAAUGCUCCAAUAAUUAUGAUCAUCAAACUUUCAACUCAAAACUUAGAGCAACUAUGACUCUAUAUGGAACGCCUUCGGUAGUGUACCGUGGCAAUGAUCUAGCAUGGCAUAGACAUCAAUGGAAACAUCAUGCUGGCUAUCUUACGAUCAUGCAAUGGGAAUGUAGAUGUGGUGGAACAUAUCAUGGUAGUAGUUGCAUGGCAAUAUAUCUCACAAUGACUUUGAAAAAGCCAUAGUAGGUUGGUAUGAUGGCUGUUUUGAGGAAGGCUAAUGGUGGGUUUUGUGCACCGGCGAGAGUUGCAGGGCACUAAGAAGAUAGUGAUGGUGGAAGGUGAAAGUGCAUCUAAACCAUGGACUCAACAUUAGUCAUGAAGAACUCAUAUACUUGUUGCAAAAGUUUUAUUAGUAAUCGAAACAAAGCAUUCAACGCAUACUCCUAGGGAAAGGGUUGGUAGGUAUAAACCAUCACGCGAUCCCGACGGCCACGCAAAGGAUGACAAUCAAUAUACAAAUCAUGCUCAGACUUCAUCACAUAGCGGUUCACCAUACGUGCAUGCUACGGGAAUCNNNNNNNNNNNNNNNNNNNNNNNNNNNNNNNNNNNNNNNNNNNNNNNNNNNNNNNNNNNNNNNNNNNNNNNNNNNNNNNNNNNNNNNNNNNNNNNNNNNNNNNNNNNNNNNNNNNNNNNNNNNNNNNNNNNNNNNNNNNNNNNNNNNNNNNNNNNNNNNNNNNNNNNNNNNNNNNNNNNNNNNNNNNNNNNNNNNNNNNNNNNNNNNNNNNNNNNNNNNNNNNNNNNNNNNNNNNNNNNNNNNNNNNNNNNNNNNNNNNNNNAAACUUCUCUAACUAUUAAAUGCACAUGAAGGUGGAAGUUUUUGUAUCCCUUUGGAUAACUACCCCUUUUGAGACUACUUUCAAAGCAUAGAUCAACUACCAAGCCACGCACCGCUGUGCUCUAAAAGAUAUAAGUGAAGCACAUAGAGCAAAAGUAUCUAGCUCAAAAGAUAUAAGUGAAGCACAUGUGAGCUGAAUUGUCUACGAAAAGAUAUAAGUGAAGCUCGACAAAAUCACGGUGUGUGCAUGUCUCUCUCUCUAGGAGUGCAGCAAGAAUGAUUGUGACACAACAAAAAUAAAANNNNNNNNNNNNNNNNNNNNNNNNNNNNNNNNNNNNNNNNNNNNNNNNNNNNNNNNNNNNNNNNNNNNNNNNNNNNNNNNNNNNNNNNNNNNNNNNNNNNNNNNNNNNNNNNNNNNNNNNNNNNNNNNNNNNNNNNNNNNNNNNNNNNNAAAAAGAAACACAAAAAACACAAUCAUAACAGAAUUAUGAAAGUGUGGAAAACACAAAACAUAAAUAAAAAGGAUAGAUUCGUUGGGUUGCCUCCCAACAAGCGCUUUUGUUUAACGCCCUUAGCUAGGCAUUCAAUGAUGCUCUCACAAAAGACAAGACUUGAUGCACAAUGAGAGCAUCCUAAAGCAUGUGAAAAUCACAUUUAAGUCUAAGAUACUUCCUAUGCAUAGGCAUUUUAUAAGAAAACAAAUUGGCAAGACAACCAAAAGUUACCAAAUGCAAGGAAGAAGAAAGAGACAAUAGCAAUCUCAACAUAACGAGAGGUAAUUUGGUAACAUGAAAGUUUCUACCACAAUAUUUUCCUCUCUCAUAGCAAAUACAUGUGGGAUCAUAUUCGAAUUCAACAAUGUAACUAUCACAAAGGAUAUUCUUUUCAUGAUCCGCAUGCAUGCAAAGUUCAUGCUCUUCAAAAAUAGUGGGAUUAUCAUCUAAAGUCAUGACUUCUCCAGUCCCACUUUCAAUAUUAUUGCAAAUAUCAUAUUCAUCAUGAGGUUUAAACAAAUUUUCAAGAUCAUAAGAAAUAUCAUCACCCCAAUCAUGAUUAUUGCAACAAGUAGUGGUCAUAGCAAAACUAGCAUCCCCAAGCUUAGGGUUUUGCAUAUUUUUAGCAUGAUUUUCACUAAUAGGAUUUAUAGUGAAAUCAUUGCAAUCAUGCUUUUCAUCCAAGGAGCCCUCGUGAAUCACUUCGUAAGUUUCUUCAUCACGAUUUUCAGAUUCACGCAUCUUACGCAAAACUCCAAAGAAAUAGUCAAUUGCCCUCAACUCACUAGCAAUUUAUUCCACACGAGUGGGUCUCUUAAAGAGACUAGCAAGUGGAUGAGGAUCCAUAUCACUAGAUUUUGAGCAAGCGAAGAUGCAGGCAUAUUGAGGGCACAUGGCACACAAGCGAACAGAAAGCAAGCGAGAGAAAAGGGCGAACGAAAAAAAGCAAAAGAAAACGGCGAAGGAGAAACGCAAAUGAAAACAGCAAAGGUGAAGUGGGGGAGAGGAAAACGAGAGGCAACUGGCAACAAAAGUAAAUGCAAGAGAAGAGUUUGUGAGACCUACUUGGAUAGAUCUUGAUUUCUCCUCCCCGGUAACGGCGCUAGAAAUACUUCUGAUGUUUGCCGUGUAUCCCUUGCAAUGGCGCCAGAAAUAGUUGUGUCGACGGCACCAUGAAUCCUUCAGCUACGGCUACGCCUUAAGGGACUUCCUAGGCAAGUAUGCAAAGGAUUUCCCCCGUGGCCUUGGAGCCUUGCAUUGGUGUUCCCUCGAAGUGGAAAGGGUGAUGUAGCACAACGACGGUAAGUAUUUUCCUCAGUUUGAGAACCAAGGUAUCAAUCCGGCGGAAGAGUAUCUCAAGAUCCUGCACAAACACAAAAGCUUGCACCCAGCGCUAUGAAGGGGUUGUCAAUCCCUUAUAGAUUGUUUGCCAAGUGAGAACUGAAAGAAACAAAGUAACAAAGCAAAGUAAAAGCGGAGAUGUAAAUGAUGGAUGUGAAUAGACCCGGGGGCCGUAGUGUUUACUAGUGGCUUCUCACAUGAAAGCAAGUAGACGGUGGGUGAACAAAUUACUAUCGGGCAAUUGAUAGAACUGUGCAGAGUCGUGACGAUAUCUAUGCAAUGAUUAUUUCUAUAGGCAUCACGUCCAAAACUAGUACCCCGAUACUUUCUGCAUCUACUACUAUUACUCCACACGUCGACCGCUAUCCAGCAUGCAUCUAGUGUAUUAAGUCCAUAAGAACAGAGUAAUGCCUUAAGCAAGAUGACAUGAUGUAGAGGGAUAAUCUCAAACCAAUGAUAAAAACCCCAUCUUUUUACCCUUGAUGGCAACUGCUUGAUAUGUGCCUUGUUGCCCCUACUGUCACUAGGAAAGGUCACCACAUGGCAGAACCCAAAACCAAGCACUUCUCCAUUGCAAGAAUCAUAGAUCUAGUUGGCCAAACAAAACCCAAGACUCGGAGAGACUUACAAGGAUAUCAAAUCAUGCAUAUAAGAAAUCAGCAAAGACUCAAAUAUAUAUCAUAGAUAAUAUGAUCACAAGUCCACAAUUCAUUGGAUCUCGACAAACACACCGCCACACAAGAUUACAUCGGAUAGAUCUCCAUGAAGAUCAUGGAGAACUUUAUAUUGAAGAUCCAAGAGAGAGAAGAAGCCAUCUAGCUACUAACUACGGACCCGUAGGUCUGAAGUGAACUACUCACGAGUCAUUGGAGGGGCGAUGAUGAUGAUGAAGAAGCCCUCCAACUCAAAAGUCCCCUCCGGCAGGGUGCCGGGAAGGGUCUCCAGAUAAGAUCUCGCGGAAACGAAAGCUUGAGGCGGUGGAAAAGUAUUUUCGAGGCUCUCAUGAUUUUUUGCGGAAUAUUUGGGAAUAUAUAGGCGCAAGACCUAGGUCAGGGGGAGGCCAGGGAGGCCACAAGCCUGCCCAUCGCCGCCUCCCCCUGGUGGCGGAGUGGGGGCUUGUGGGCUCCCUCGAGCCCACCUAGCUUGGCCCAAAAGCCCCCUGGACUUCUUCCGUUCGGGAAAAAAUCAUUUCGGGGUUUUUCUUCUGUUUGGACUCCGUUCCAAAAUCAGAUCUGAAAAGAGUCAAAAACGGAAAAAACAGGAACUGGCACUUGGCACUGAAUUAAUAAGUUAGACCCAAAAAGAUAUAAAAAGGUACAUAAAACAUACAAAGAAGGCAAGAUAACAACGUGAAACCAUCAAAAAUUAUAGAUACGUUUGAGACGUAUCAGGGGUCACUGUUGACAUGGCAGUACAAGAUGCUGCCUAUUCAAUGUUGUCCAUCAUGAGGGCCAGACAUGCACUGUUGCAGAAUUCAGAGUUCUGCUAUGUUCCUGCCUCUCAGCCAGGAGAAGAAGGAUACCUCAUUGGGGUCUACUUUGAUUCCUCUAUGGAGGAUCCGCUGUUGCAGUCCACUGCUGAGAUGCUAGAGAAUAGAGACAAGGAUGCUCGUGCCCUUCGUAUGGAGCUCUAUGCUACACGUGCCCGUCUGUGGACGGCUUUCACGCAGCUGGCACCUGUAGUCUAGACAGGGUAUGGAGAUAUGGAGAUGCUGAACCCUGUUAGGACCCAUCUUCCGGCUCAUGUUGACUGGCCUGCUAUAGGAGGAGUCACCCCUCUUCGGGGACCUCUACUACCACCAGUAAGGGGACCAAGGCCACACCCGUGCCCUUACGGUUCCCAGGGGUCUUAGGCUGGAGUAUUUCUUGAUCUGCAAGUUGAGCUCCCAGGCCAUGGAGGCAACCUUUAUGAGAUGUUCUAUGCAGAUGCCUGAACCCGUGAGUGGAAGGAUAGUAUGGUAGUAGUUGUACUUCCACAGUCCUGUGUGUCUUGUGGAGUAUGCUUAUGUCGAAAGAUGAAUUCCGGAGGCAUAGAUAAAUAAUGUAUAGGAAGGUUGGAAGCCUCUGAUGAGUAGUGUCAUCUUUUAAGUAGUUUGCCCUUCGGUUAAGGUUGUACUGAACUAUGUAAUGGUGUGUAUGAACCAUGGUGUACAUAUAGCAGUUGUUUGUUACCAUGUUGUUCGGAUGUUCAUUUCCGCAUUCCAUGUGUUCAGUGCAUUCUUAAUUCAUAGUUAGUUUUGAUGUUGAUAUUGGUCUAAGCUAUGAGUUUGUUUGUCAGGAUGGUGUUCACCAGGUUGAACCGUGCCCCUGCUCAUGAGCAAGGAGAGGGUAGUCAAGCAUCGCUGGAGGAACUGCCUCACCCGCCCUCUCUGGCGGAAGUUAUGCUUGAGGCAGAAAGAAACAAAAGGGAGACUAACCAUCUGUUAGAGCGUAUUGAGCAAAAUACGGCUCGUCAGCCUAGGAAUGAUGCAGUGUCCCUCAAUGAAUUCGUGAAACUGAAUCCUCCGAAGUUCCAUCACUCCGUCGACCCCCUCGACGCUGAUAACUGGUUGUGCAGUAUAUCGCGCAAGGUUCGCUCUGCAAAUGUUUCUGAGACCGACAAGGUGACCUUUGCGGCAUACUUUCUGGAAGGACCCGCCAAUCUAUGGUGGGUGAACUUUGAAGCUAUGCGUCCUGCCGGACCAGUAGCCACAUGGGCAGACUUUAGUGCAGCCUUCCGUCUGCACCAUAUUCCAAAGGGUCUGAUGGACAGAAAGAGAGAGGAGUUAUGUGCAUUCACCGAGGGAAAAUUGACCGUGGAUGCAUAUAGCCGCGAGUUCGGUAACCUCGCUCGCUAUGCAACUGAAGAGGUGUCAACUGACGCCAAGAAGCAAGAAAGAUUCUGUAAGGGUCUGAGCCCUGAACUUUGUCAUGAUUUGUGCCUCCACGAAUGUGCAAGCUUUCAAGCUCUUGUCAAUAAGGCGAUCAGUGCCGAGACUGGUCAUACUGACUAUGAAGCCACAAAGAAGCACUCCCAUGACUCUGGCUCGUCAUCUGGUUCCGCGUUUGCAAAAUGCAGGCCGUGGGUUCCAAAUAGUUCUCUGCCGCCAAGAUAUACUCCGAGGCCAUCCUAUGUGGCGCCUCAGGCGAAUCAGACCAACCCUCCAGCAAAAACUAUGGUGGCCCAGGUAGCAAUGCUGCACCACGUGCCAAUCAGGUGAUCUGUUACAAGUGUGGAGAACCAAGGCACUACUCCCGAGAGUGUCCUCAGAAUAUGGGUGUCAAGCAACCCGGAAAGUCCGUUGGGCAAGGCAAGUCGGGCAAAGCUUACUAUGUGAAGCCAACUCCUGCACGUGGCCGUGUGAACUAUGUUUCAGCAGAAGAAGUUGCAGAGGAUCCCGACGUCAUUUUGGGUAUGCUCCUUGUUAAUUAUCACCCAGCGUCUGUUCUUUUUGACACUGGGUCAUCUCAUUCCUUCAUUUCAGAAAGUUAUGCACAGUUGCAUAACAUGUCUUUCUGUGAUAUGCCAAUCCCAUUGGUUGUCCAAACCCCUGGUAGUAAGUGGCAAACCUCCAGGAUAACCUAUGACAAUGAAAUUCUAGUAGACAGACUAGUUUUUCUAGCAUCUUUUAUAGCCCUGAAAUCUUUGGAUAUCAAUAUCAUCCUGGGUAUGGACUGGAUGUCAGCUCAUUAUGCCAAGAUUGAUACUCAUUCUAGAAAUGUUUAGCUUACCCAUCCCUCAGGUGAGAUAGUCAAUCUCUCUACUCGAGUUGCCAAAUGCCAACUCUAUUCCCUGAAUGCCAACCCUCUUCGAAAACUUGAAGACAUUCCGGUAGUCCGUGACUUCCCGGAUGUUUUUCCAGAGGAACUGCCAGGAAUUCCACCUGACAGAGAUGUAGAGUUUGUGAUAGACCUUGUUCCGGGAACUGUCCCAAUAGCCAGAAGACCUUAUAAGAUGGCACCCCUGGAGCUAGCCGAACUUAAGAAGCAAUUAGAUGAGGCCUUGAAUAAAGGUUUCAUUCGUCCUAGCUCUUCUCCUUGGGCUUGUCCUGUCCUCUUUGUUAAGAAGAAAGACAGAACGGAUCGGAUGGUUGUAGAUUAUCGACCAGUUAAUCUGGUCACCAUAAAGAACAAGUAUCCGCUCCCCAGGAUCAACGACCUGUAUGAUCAGCUUGCUGGAUCCUCAAUCUUCUACAAAAUGGAUUUGAGGUUGGGUUACCAUCAAAUCAAGAUCAAGAACGGGGACAUCCCAAAAACGGCUUUUGUCACUCGUUAUGGCCAAUACGAGUACACCGUCAUGUCCUUUGGUUUAAGCAAUGCCCCAGCCACCUUCUCUCGCUUGAUGAAUUCAAUCUUCAUGGAGUAUUUGGAUAAAUUCGUCAUAGUAUACCUCGAUGAUAUUCUCAUCUACUCAAAGAAUGAACAAGAACAUGCCGAGCAUCUAAGGCUGAUAUUGAUGAAACUUCGAGAGCACCGCCUGUAUGCCAAGUUUUCAAGAUGUGAAUUUUGGUUACCAGAAGUGACCUAUCUAGGCCACGUAAUCUCUGGUAAGGGUAUUGCUGUUAAUACCGAGAGAGUUCAAGCUGUCCUUGAUUGGACUCAACCUGAAUCGGUUAAGCAAGUUAGGAGUUUUCUUGGUCUAGCGAGCUAUUGUCGCCGCUUUGUCGAGAAUUUAUCCAACGUUGCAAAGCCUCUAACUGAACUCCUCAAGAAAGAUAAAAAGUUCGAGUGGACACCACAGUGUGAGCAUAGUUUUCAGGAACUGAAAAGACCCCUGACUUCUGCACCUGUGUUGCUACCACCAGAUUUCUCUAAGGACUUUGAUAUCUAUUGCGACGCCUCGCGACAAGGAUUAGGUUGCAUUCUCAUGCAGGAUCAUCAUGUGAUUGCAUACGCAUCUCGACAGUUGCGUCCACAUGAGGAUAAUUAUCCUACACAUGAUCUUGAGCUUGCAGCUGUAGUCCAUGCACUUAAAACCUCGAGACAUUACCUAGUUGGUAAUCGUUGCGAAAUAUUCACUGAUCACCAAAGUCUGAAAUAUAUCUUCACCCAGCCGGAUUUGAAUCUCACGCAAAGACGGUGGGUUGAGUUGAUCACGGAUUACGACUUAGGGAUAACUUAUACCCCGGGGAAGGCCAAUGUUAUGGGAGAUGCACUAAGUCAUAAGUCUUAUUGUAACAAUCUGAUGCUACAACGAGGUCAACCACAUCUCUAUGAGGAAUUUCGGAAGUUAAAUCUUCACAUUGUUCCUCAAGGAUUCCUUUCUAACCUGGUGGCGAAGCCUACUCUUAAGGAUCAAAUCAUAGCUGGCCAGAAGCGUGAUAAGGGUAUAUCACGGAUCAAGGAGAAUAUUAUUACGGAAACGCUAAUGAAUUCUCCAUGAAUGAUCAAGAUGUUGUGCUCUUCCAGAAUCGCCUAGUGGUUCCCAAGAAUCCACAUCUAAGGAAGUUAAUCCUUAAAGAGGCUCAUGAUUCUCCUCUCACCAUUCAUCCUGGUUGUACUAAGAUGUAUCAGGACCUACGCCAGAGGUUUUGGUGGACUAGGAUGAAGAGAGAAAUUGCUGAGUUCGUUGCUAACUACGACGUUUGUCGUUGAGUUAAGGCAGAACAUCAAAGGCCUGCUGGCACCCUUCAACCUUUAGCUAUUCCUGAAUGGAAAUGGGAUAAAGUUAGUAUGGAUUUCUUCACCGGAUUUCCCAAGACCAAGGAAGGAAAUAAUGCUAUCUUUGUGGUCAUCGACCGUCUUUCCAAAGUAGCUCAUUUUCUUCCAGUUCGUGAGAGUAUAACAGCUAGCCAGCUAGCAGAGUUAUAUGUCUCUCGAGUAGUGUCUCUUCAUGGUGUUCCUCUGGAGAUUAACUCAGACCGUGGAAGUAUCUUUACGUCUCGCUUCUGGGAGAGUUUUCAGAAUGCCAUGGGGACUCACUUAUCUUUUAGCACUCCUUUCCAUUCUCAAUCAAGUGGUCAAGUAGAAAGGGUGAAUCAAAUCCUAGAAGAUAUGCUCCGAGCUUGUGUUAUAUCGUUCGGUAUGAAUUGGGAGAAGUGCCUUCCAUUCGCCAAAUUUGCCUAUAACAAUAUUUAUCAAUCAAGCUUGGGCAAAGCUCCUUUUGAAGUUCUCUAUGGACGAUGAUGUCGAACACCUCUUAAUUGGUCAGAAACCGUAGAGAGGCAACUCUUUGGUCCGGAUAUGAUCCAGGAUGCAGAAGAGAAAGUUCGCAUUAUUUGUGAAAAGUUGAAAACAGCCCAGUCUCGUCAAAAGAGCCAAUAUGAUCGUCAUCAUAAGGCUGUGACCUUUGAAGUUGAUGAGAAGGCUUACCUUCGGGUUACACCUUUGAAGGGAAACCAUCGUUUUGGUAUCAAGGGCAAGUUGGCUCCUCGUUACAUUGGUCCUUUUCGCAUUCUUGCUAAACGAGGAGAAGUUGCCUGCCAAUUGGAACUUCCUCCGCAUCUUUCCAUGGUUCAUGAUGUAUUCCACGUCUCGCAACUCACCCGUUGCUUUCCGGAUCCUAUCCGCGAAGUGGACCACGAAAUGCUUGAUCUCCAAGAUAACCUUUCAUACCGAGAAUACACUGUGCAUAUUCUUGAUCAAGUUGAGUGUACCACUCGACGUUGAAACCUCAAGUUUCUUAAAGUUCAAUGGUCAAAUCAUUCCGAAAAGGAGGCAACAUGGGAAAGAGAGGAUCGUCUCCGACUUGAGUAUCUCACGCUAUUCCCGACGACUUCCAAAUCUCGGGACGAGAUUCUUUUGAGUGGGGGUGAGUUGUCACAUCCCUGAUCCCCGUUAGGGUUUAGCAAGUUUGAGCUCAUAUUUUAUUCCAUUGCAUCUUAAGAUUUUGAAUUGCACUCAAGGAAGGAAAAUAAAUCCAAAGCAAAGUAAAGAAAACCAAAGCAAAACCCUAGCAACCUUUUAUUCAAAAGAAUUCCAACAAGUGCCAAAUCAAUGAACCCAAAAUGGCCAUUAGAAAAGUUCAUCUUUUCUGAUAAAUGUAGAAAACAAGAUAUCAGAUAUGAAACCUAUUUUCCAAAUACUUUUGGCAUUUUAAAUUUAAGUUAAAAGCUAUUGAAAUCAACUAUAUAUUUGAUUUCAAAUAAUUCAAAGUUUCCAAAAAUGUUGAAAACUUUAUGAGUGGUUGGAAAUAUUCCAACUAACACUCUGGUAUUUUUCAAACUAUUUUAGGAAUAGUUUGGAGCCAAAAAUAAAACAAAACAAAUGUCAGAAAGAAUAAACAGAAACAGAAAAGAAAAGAAAUGCAAAAAUCUUACCUAUCGCUCACCUGGCCCAGGCCCAGCUGCUCCUCGUCGCUUUCCUUGCCAGCGAGCAGCAGGAGGUGGCCGCCGCUUGUUCCGGCGCGGCCACGCACCUCUGCGUCUGCCUGGCCGCGGCAUCGCGCUGGCGCGAAGGGGAUAAGCUCCCCGAAGGCCUUCCCGUUCUCAUCCCCUCGCCAUUCGCCCCUGCUCUCUUCUCCCCUCUCGGCCGCCAUGACCGCAAGCUUGAGCUCGAGCUCGCUGUUGCUCCAGCCCCUCUCCCUCUCACCUGAGUUGCGCGUUAGCUUCGCCGUGAUCCCCUGAAGCUCUCCAGCCAGUCGCUCGACGCCGAGAAGCUCUGAAACGCCGUGACGCCGUCAUCUUCCUCCUUGGGUCACCGGAGCUCGUCGCCGUCGUUCUCCCUCCUCAGGCCAUCCCCGAGCCCCCUCUCAACACCUCUGCACUCCCCGUGAGCUCAGGGUUCUUUCCCCCAAGUUUUCCCCCUCGAUCAUUUCCUCUAGCCCCCGAUUCCACCUGAGCCCGACGAGAUCCGCCGCGGAACCUCAUCGCCGGUAGCUCUUCGGUGAUCGGCUGGUCAUUCUGAGGCCACCAAUGUCUUCAGUGCGUCGCGUAGAUGUUGUAGGAGCCCAGCCCUGCGCGAAAUGCCCUUUGUUUUGUUGAUCCCGACAUAGCCCGAGCUUCGGCCGCCGCCAAGCUCGUCGCCGGCGUCAUCUCCGGUCAUCUUAGCCUUGGUUCUUUGCAGAAAUGGAACUGCGGCUGAGUGCUGGUUCGUUUGGUGCCCUCCGCGUGAAGUUUGGUCGCCGGAAUGAGAUUCUCGAGCCCCUCCGCCGUCUCUGUGGUCGCCGGAGGCUCACCGCCGGCGAGAUCGACCUCGCCGCCAGUGGAUCUGACUCCCCUAAGUCACUGGCAUGUGGGGCCAGCCCCCUGACUAAUUAAGUUAGGUUAAUAAAAAUAAUUAAUUAAAUAAAAGCUUAAACAAACACUGACAGGUGGGUCCUACUCUGUUAAUUAGCUAAUUAAGUUAAAUUUAAACUAAAACAUGGCCAAAGUCACUAACCAGUGGGUCCCACAAGUCAGGUUUGACUUUCAACGGCCAGUUGGACCUGCUGAUGUCAUGCUGAUGCAAUAAAACCUUUUCUGUUUGAAAACAAUUCCAGAAUAAGUUCAAAACUUUGGAAAUUCAUAGAAAAUUGAAUAUAACUCCAAAUUUGAAAAUUAAUAUAUGUAAAAGGAUCAGAAAAAUUCAAGGAAUCCAAUGGUGCUAUUUUCAUGCAUGAAAAACAAAGUUAUGAAACAGCAUGAGGUCAAAUCAAUUAAAAGAAUGUGAUAAAUUAUAAUUCAAAUGAUAUUUGAAUUAUGAUUUCAAAUCAAGAUCACCCAAAGGGUUCUCCUAGUCAUCUCAAACCAUGCUACAUUGCAUUUCAUGCAUCAUUUUGUUGCAUAUGUUUGAUAUUGAUUGAUUGUUGUUAUUCCGGUAGGCUCCGCCCCUCCGGAUACAUCUGAUUAUCCGACUGACGGAUAUCACCCCUCUGCGGAGCAACAAGGCAAGCAACUAUUUUGAUCAUCCCGAUAAAUCCCAUGUUCUCGCUCUUGCUCUUACUUAAUGCAUUAGGUCAAAAUGCUUUCAAUGCUUUUACCACGUUAGUUGAACCCACUUCCUUUGCAUGACCUGUCCUUGUCACAGUAAAUAGCUGAACCUUGCAACCUAGCAAACCUGGUAGAUGCUUGAGCCAUGAUGUGUCUUUUCCUGCUAUGCAUGCUAUGCUUAGAGUUGUGUAUGGUCUGUCAUCUGGGUGAUGAACAGGAUCGUGAGAAUGUGUUCAGUUAGUAAAGGUUGUGUGUUGAACCUGAUUUGGUAAAGGUACCGGUGAAAGGCUAUGUAGGAGUACAUGGCAGGUUGUUUCAUUGGAACCAUCCUUAGGAAGUGAGUUCCGUGUAUGUAAUCCAAGACAAGAUACUACCUCAUGAUGGUCCCCGAAAUAUGACCCCACUCGACUUAUUAACCGCUUAGUACUCGGUCCAGGAGUUGCAAGUAGUUUCUGGUGUUUAUAGUCAUGCUGGAGGCCGUGCGUAGCGCUGACCUUAGAGGUGGGCUAUGAUGCGGUAGGCAGUGGCACGGUGUACCAAGUGGCACCCGGAUGGUGGGCUUGGGAACCCUACGCACAUCGUUUGGGGCCAUGGCGGAAACCUCGGCCGGACUUCCGUGCGGGUUACCCUCAGAUAGGCGAUAGACUUGGACUAAGUAUUAGCGUGGUUAACGGUUGUGGCCGACUCCCUCGCUGGGCUUCCGCUUGAAGGUUCUCGAGGUGCAUGAUGUGAACAUGGCUAUAAGUGGCGAGAGCGUGUGUGAAGAAGUACACCCCUGCAGGGUUAUGAUCUAUUCGAAUAGCCGCGUCCGCGGAUAUGGACUACUUGGAAACAUAUGUUGUUCAUAGAUAACUAUAAUGACUACUCAUAAAAUUGUCAAGAUAAGUGUGAGUGUCGUGGACGGCAUUUCCGUAGGGAGACGGAAUGAUUCCACGAUGGAGUAUUGUUGUGGUGUUAGUGGACUCGUGUGCGAGAAAUCAAAGUUGUCAAAACUAUUUAAAAAUGCAAGUUGUCUAGCCAAGAGUCAAAUGCUGGCUUUCCGCAUGAAACGCCACAACUCCUUGUUGAUACAUUGCAUGAGUAUAUAGAUUUCCUAAAGUCUUGCUGAGUACUUCCGUACUCACGUUUGCUUAAUAAAUUAUUGCAGAGGUUGUUAAUGACCCUAAUGGAGGGUUCUACCUAGACGUUGACGACUACGAGUACCUGGUAUCCCAGCUACGAUCUGGCCCUAGGUUGGGUCUGUAGAUAGUCAGGCCAUGUGCCUUUAUCUUUCCAUCUGUCUGUACUCAGACAGUUUUAAUCUUGCGCUGGCUUGUAAAACUCGUAUGUAUGACUUGUGAUGAUGGGUCGUGAGACCCCUAUCUGUGUAAUACUAUGUGUGAG